UUUUUUUUUUUUGUCGUGUCUUCUCUUUGAGCGAGGGUUUAGGGUUUUGAUAAGUUGGUUUCGUUGGUUUUGUCAUUAGGUAUACCAUGGUUAUGGUAUCAUUUCAAGAGACUAUUUUUAAGUCGAUUAUUUCUUGUGAUAAAAGUAAUGAGGAGGUUGCAUGUACACAUAUGCCGGCUGUUUUGGCAUAUAAUGUCUGAAAGGUUUGUUUCUUCUUGAGAUUGACCAGUGAUGGAAGCAGGAUUUUUUUAAGUGGGCCGGGGGCAAAUUUCAUUGCAAUAGUUCAAUACAAACUAUAUGGGGGCCAAUUAGUUCAAAUUCCUCAUAAUAUGUACUUAAGUUGCUUUAUUUGGCCAUUAGUUUUUCAAGAAAUGAUAAUCAAGUGGGGGCAAUAACCCCUAAAAGCUUGUAUAUGCGUCCGCCUAUGAUUGUAACGAUGUAUUGAGGCUUCUGGAAUAUGUUAUAUAGAUUACGGUUGAACCCGUUUCGAUUGGUGUCCAUUGUAAUAGCUGGAGUUUAGGUAGGGGGCGAGUGGAGAAUUUAUGUCCCCACUAAUAUCUCUUAUGGUUUGUAACUUUAGUUCAUAUAGUUCAUAUAUAUUACAUAAAGUAUUACCUUUUAACAAAAAUAAAAUAAAAUAAAAUAAAAAAAUAAUAAUAAAUCAAUAAACAAAUCGUUCUAUGUCAUGGUAGUCAGCAAGUGAUACAAUACAUAUACAAAAAUUCUAAUACGCAACAAGAUGCAAGUGAACCAAUUAAGUAAUUAAUAUGUAAUUUAUGCAUUUUAUUUGAUCCAGCCUCCCACGUACGUGACACUACAAUGUAUAUAUGUGAACAUUGUUAACAUAACUAAAACUCAAAAACUAGUCCAAGUGUCACUACUGGAAAAAAACACUUAGGAGACGGAAUUGAUUUGUCUCCUAAGUACCAAAAUUGGUCUCCUAAGUACUUAAGAGAUGGAAUAGCCGUCGGCUAAGAUCCGUCGCCUAAGAGUCGUCAAGUAGAAAAGGAGUCAACUAAAAAUUUAGUUUCAUCUACUAAGAGCUAUUUAGGCGACAAAAUGAGUUAUGUCUCCUAAGUUCUUAGGCGACGGAAUAAUGUCCAUCUCUUAAGUUCUUUGGAGACGGAUUUAAAAUAGUUUUAAAAAAAUUAAUUAAAUUAAUUAAAUUUUAUUUCUAUUAUUUUUUUUUAUUUCAGUUUCUUUUUAUUUCUUUGCCUUUCAAUUUUUUUUUUAUUGUCUGAAACCAACCACCCAUUCCACCACCGCCCAAAAUCUCACACCCUUGCCAAUACCGCUACAACCUUCGGCAAACAUCGCUGUCACCUCUAGUUUUUCUAAACCACCCACCGCUACAACCAAGAAGCAAAACCCAGAGCUCCAUCAUACCUUAAUCCAUCAAAUCCAAUCCCGAAAUACAAAUUUCAGUCACCCAAUUUCAAUCACUGUUUAUACAUAUUAUGAGAGGAUGGUGAAGAGAUUGUGAGCGAUGUUGAGUGGUAGUGGAGGAGAGAUCGAAGUCGUUGUCGGUCUGGGCUAGGGAGUAAGGGAGGUCGGCCUUGGAGAAGUGAAUGCUGGUCUAGGCUAGUGGUCUAGAUCUGAAAAAAAAAUGAGUGGGAGAGAAAGAUGGGGAUAAAGAUGGAGAGGUAAGAGCAGACUGAGGGGAAGAUAAAAGAUAAAGAGUGUGAGAAGGAGGAGUAGAAGAAAGAGAGAGUUUAUGAGUUUAAAUAAAUUGGGAACCAAAUUUUCAAAAAAUUUCGUUUGAAAUUUUCUCAAAUUCUCGGCGGAAGAUUUGACGGCCCAAGUUUUUUUAACUUAUAAGUGAUUCAAAUUCAUUACAAAAAAAUUCCGUCUCCUAAGUAAAACAUUUUAUCUUCUAACAUUUCGCCUAAGUUGUUAAUAUUUUUAUUUUUUAUUUUUCAAAAAGUUAUUCCGUCUCCUAAGUAAAUGGUUUCGUCUCUUAAGUAGCACUUAGGAGAGUAAAUGCUUUUCCGUCGUCUAAGUGGUCACUUAGGCUACGGAACGAGCACUUAGGAGAUGGAAUUAAAACCAUUCAAUCUCCUAGGUACUUUUUUCCAGUAUUGUGUUUUAAACACAGGAAGUGAAGACCCGAAGUCGAAGACGAGAUCCUCUUAUUAUGAGCUUUUAAUAAUUGAGGGUUUACAGUUUUCAUUUUAUCUUUGCAUCUUGAAUCGGGUGACUUGCACAUUGGUGGUGCAAGUGUAUCUUGAUGUAUGAAAUCCGCUCCCAGACAUAUAAGUGACAUGAUUACAUGGAGCUAGCCUUUUUUAUAAUAACAAAAAACAAAUGCAUAUGAAAGGUUAUACAUUUGAUGUUGUCCGGUAGUCCAUUCAUAUUAAGUGUGUCGGUACUCUAAUUUUUUUCGUUAUGAAAGUAUUAUCUAACUUAUUAAUAAAAAUAUGUUAAGUUAAGUUGUUGUGUUUCAAUUACUCUAAUCUUUGAGAUUCCGUAAUUGUAAUUUACACGAACAUGUCUGUUUAGACAGAUUUUUUUCAGUUGAUUUAUUUAAUCUAAUUCGGUACCCAUACCAAAUGAUCUUCAAAUUAAAUAAAACUUUACAGAAAUGAUCAGCACACUAUGUUCUAAACAGUAAAGAUGUAAAAAUGUGAUCNNNNNNNNNNNNNNNNNNNNNNNNNNNNNNNNNNNNNNNNNNNNNNNNNNNNNNNNNNNNNNNNNNNNNNNNNNNNNNNNNNNNNNNNNNNNNNNNNNNNNNNNNNNNNNNNNNNNNNNNNNNNNNNNNNNNNNNNNNNNNNNNNNNNNNNNNNNNNNNNNNNNNNNNNNNNNNNNNNNNNNNNNNNNNNNNNNNNNNNNNNNNNNNNNNNNNNNNNNNNNNNNNNNNNNNNNNNNNNNCUCCUCUCUCUCUCUCUCUCUCUCUCUCUCUCUCGGAUUGAAAUAAUGAAGCAUGUAAUAACUACUGUAGCUAGCGCGCAGCAGCAGAAGAACCUCUGAGGGAUUCAGGCAUUCAGCGCUAGCUGCUUCUGAGUUGUGGGCUUGUGGCAGAGAUGUAUAUAGUUGUGGUCUUGUCUUGGCUGGCAGUUGGCACUGACUUCCCCGUGCACUACUAUAAUAUUCAUAUGUAGAAAUAUCAGUUGAUUUAUUCAAAAACAAAAGAAAAAAUAAAAGAAAUUUCAUCUCGAUCUGUGUACGUAUGUAUAUAUAUACGACAUAUAUAUAUGAUUCUGACACGUACAGACACAGCGAAACACUCCUCUUUCUCUCUCGCUCUGUGUAAAGCCCUAGCUAGCUUAGGCUAGUGGUGAUUGUUAUGGGACUCUUCAUUAAAAUGGGGUGGGGAGAUCGAGCUAGACGUCUGAGACAGAGAGGUUGAUCAUCGAUCCCAUCUCUCAUAUCAAAUUAUCAAUAGCAGUGGCAGUGACAUGUCUAAUCCUUAUUUGUUGGUUGGUUAGUUUCGUUUCGAACUAGUCGAUCCUGGCCUCUGAUCACUCUAAUUCUUUUUGCAUGCCUUUCCUUACUCAUCCCUUCAUCUCCGAUGGACUUGUCAUUCAUGAAAUGAUCCAUCGAUCUCUUCAAGCUCUCCCAUGCCAUCACUCUUUCUUUCUUUCUUGUCAUCGAUCUCUCUGUCUCUCGAUCUGCCUUCCUUCCAUAGAAAAAUGAGUGUACGUACGGCACUGUUUUUAACUGCAGUUAACAGCCUGUGACCCCUGGACAAUAAUAUAGCUUUGCUUUUCUCAGCUGCAUGCCGACAAAUAGACAAAACCUCUUCCAUUAGUUUUGCUUUUCUCUUUGUUUGGUCCGGUCCUUUCCAUAUUUCCUUUUGUUGUAUUUUUCAAAUCUGCAGAAGAACCACCACAUAACAUAUUUGACCUAAUUAAUAGUAAGGGUUUUUUUCUAUCUUUUUUUAUAAUGCUAAAAGACUAAUUACAAAAUAGAUCUCUGGAAGCAAUCUGCUCCAAAGAGAUCAAAAUUAACAGCAAGCCCUACGGACAAGAGAAAAUCCGACUCCCAAUAGCUAGGCCUUGAAAGCUGGUGACCAAGAUUUGCUAGCGCGUUGUCAGCGACGUUAGCUUCGCGAAGAACAUGAUAAAAGACUAUACUCUGGAAAGCGGCAAUACUAUUGAUGUUUUGGACAAGUUGCAGCAGCCUCCACGGACACUUAAAGUUUCCCUUGAUACGGUUGAUAACUAAUGCGUAGUCACCUUCCACGAUCAAAUCUUGGAAUUCCAUUUCAUGAGCUUUGAGAAGACUAUCUCUUAGAGCAAUGACUUCUGCAAUGUGAACGUUUGUCUUCCCAAUCUUUUGCGCAUAAACAAUAAUAGGGCACCCAACAUCGUCUCUAAGGAUAAAACCAGCAGUAGCAUCAGAUGUUUGUUGUAACAUCGAACCGUCAAAAUUAAUCUUUAUUCUGCCAUGAGUAGGAGGAUUUCAUUUGAUAUUGGAGCCUACGUACUUGUGUUGUUGAGGCUGAUACUACUACGAUCUCUAGGAAUGCAAUUGUAAGUGGCUGCACAAGCAACAACUGCAUGCGGAGAGAAACCCUUGUUCCUGAAAACAAGAUCAUUACGCUUUUGCCAUAUCUGCCAGCAUAAGGUAAGAAUUUUUCCAAAGUUAUUCGCAUUGAACGGACUAUCUGCCAGCAUAGGAUUUUUUCCUAUCGAAAAAAUGGUAAUUAAGGGUUUCUCAAUUGAUAUUAUUGCUCAUUCAUCAUAUGAGUAAUCAAAGGCCAAAAUGACACUACAAAAUCUCUAGAGAUGGGAAAAUCAUACUAUUACACUUAAGACUCAUAUCAAAGAUUGCUUACGCUAAGCACAUAAUUGAGACUAUAAAAUUGCGAACAACAAAAAAAUAUCUGAAAACAUAUGAAAAUAACUAAAUAACUUAGUUACAUAGUAGAUCUAUGGAAAGUGGAAACCCACCAAGGAAGAGCCUAAACCCACAACUCAACAGACACAAGCAAGAAAAUCGGCCCAGCCACGUCCCUCUGCGCUCACCUUCGUCCCACAACAACCUCUGUUACCGUUCCUAAAACCCGAUCAGUCACCGCCAGCAACUAGAACACCUUUGCACUUGGAAGAUGAAGAGCGAGCCUUUCACCGGCCUGUAGUACUGAACAUCCAACACUUUGGGAGUUCACGAUGAAGUCCACAAUCAAACCAUUCCAUCAAAAUUGAGCACGCACAACAAACCUCCCACAUAGUUUCCACCAAGAAAUAGCACCAAAACGUAACACAUAUUCGGCAACAUACAUCACGUCAACAAUGCUAGAGACCAGACCAGUUGUGAAGGCGCUACCGGAACGGCGAGGAAAUUGAUAAAAACCUACCUCGGCUUUUGGAGAACUCAAGGUGCAGAGCGACUAGAAAAAACUAAGAUAUGUGUAACAAAAUUUUAUAUCAAAUUAACAGUACUUAAUUAGUAUAAUAUAUUGGUGAGACGUGGUCUGUUGGUUAGCUAGCUUAACUGACACCCCAAAAGUCAUUUUCAAUCUCUCUAAAACAUGUAAAGGUGGGUUGGGCUUAAGGAUUCUAAUAAAAAAAUAUUUAAUAAUUUCUACUAAGCUUUUUAUGAACCUAUUUGGUAUAGUUUUGCUUUAAAAAAAAAAAUUGUUUUUAUCUGCAUUUUUAGAUUUUAUAAUGUUUGGUAAAUUAAAAAAAACCAUUUUUUUUUAUUACAGGUCACUAGCUAGGUGCAGAAUGUAGAAGCAACCUCAACGUUUCUUUUGAAAGUUGUUGGCAUUAACACAAAAAAAUAAUAUUUUAUGUCAUAAUAGCACUUUCAAAAGUAAUAUUUAUCAAGUAAUAAUUUUAACAACAAAAAGGUAUAUACCAUUUUUUUCUAACACCUAAAAAGCGUUUCUCUCUCUAGGUUUUCUCGACCUAGGGUUCAGAGUUCUCGGUGGGCAAAGGGAGAGGCGGCGGCAGUCUGAUUCUCGACGUUGACCCUAGGAGUGCAGGUACGAGCGGUUGGUGACGCGUUGUCAAAGCCGAUCGUUCUCUGUCCACGUGGUUCUAAGCGAAGGACGUCAGAGAUCUUGCUCCGGUGGGUCGACAUCUGCUUUGCUAUUUUGGAUUUUCAAAUGUUCAGGUACGACGAUUGGUAAUUUGAUUCCGGAUCAUGACAAGGUUUGAUUAACGACGUCUUGUCAUUGAUUCACUCCAGGGGGAGACAAGUUUUGGUUGCUGGCGGUCUGGGUUGCUAAGGUCGGCAGCUGCUUGGGGUAGGGACUCUCUUGGCGGCGGGAUUCUUGGCUUGUCUGCCUCCGAAUGAACCAAUGACAGCGGCGAGCCAUGAUGCUUCGUGAAAUCGGGCUCUAUGACUGGGCCUGAGUUCAGUUAUUGGGCUUGGUUUUCUUUUUAAUUAUUUUUUGUGAUAUGUCCUAAUGAGUGUUGUCUACUCUAUGAAUCUUUUGUUGACAGCUAGAUCCAUUUGUACCAUAAUUGCGUGCUAGGCAGAGGUAAGAGACUAAAUGCAUAAGGAGCGAGUUGUAAGUACUUAGUUGGGCUUACUAUAUAAUUGAGCGUAUCCGUGAUUUUAUUAGUCUGUUAUUACAUAGGUUAGGUCGAUUUUUCUGUUUCUUGCUUAUGUACGACAUCUAGAUUAUAACUGAUUUGGCUAUCGAUAUAUUUUUAUCAACAAAUCUUGAUUAAAAAAAAGUAAUAUUUACCCAUUUAAUAAAAAAAAUGUACCAAACAUAAAAUUGUCUUUAUUCACAGCUGAUUAUUAUCAUAUUACAAGAGCACUAGUUUUUUUAAAAGUCGCAGCAGUCUCAAGCUUGCCCUAUGACUGGUCUUGACUAUGUCCAAUUGUCCAUAUGAGAGAGAGAGGUGCGUGUGGAACCAAAUUAGUUUCUCAACACAUGGUUCAUGAUUGGAAAAAAGAAAAAAAAAAGAAAAAAAAAGUAGACGAACAAACUUCUAUGAUUAUCAUUUGUGCUGUUAAUGAAAUUUUCAUCUCGAAUAAUAAAACGUGUUGUUGCUUCAAAUUGAUGCCGCACAGAGUCAUCAAAAUUUAAUUUGAGUCUUUAGGUAAGGCUUGUUGAUCUAGUGAGAAAUAGUUCUUGAAGAAUUUGAGUACUCCCAGCAAUUCUCUACACUUUGAUGAGGAUGGGACCGGAAUUAUUUAAUGAUCCAUUGAUUUUCAGACCCUCCAAAUCUGCCAACAAAGUAAGAGAAUCGAACUUUUCCGGUAGCAAUCGUCAAAUCUUGUUCAAUAAUCUGUCAAGCAGUGAAAGUGGAUAGCCAAUCUACAAGUGAUUCAUUGGCAUUGAUUGGUGUUGGGGAAGAAUACACACAGCUCCAGACAGCAUCAGUGAUUGCUUUUGCUACUGCUGUAACAGUUCUAUGAAUUACCUUUUUCUUUUGCAUUGUUUAAUCAGAUCAUACUGUGAUCCCGUUGAUGUAAAACUCCAAGUUAAUUCGCCAAACUCAACUUGCAUCCCUGACCCGAUCACCCUGCUGCUCCCUGGACCCGUAAGUGUCACCAGAAAUGUCUCUUCACCAUUCACCAAAAAAAAAAAAAAAAAAAUAACUCUUCACCCCUAAGCCACCCUUCCCCCCUUAGAUUGAACAACCACACACCAUUUCACUUUUUUCUUUUUUUUGUAUGUACUUCUCAUACCAAAAUACCUUCUCUUUCUGACGCCCGGCCUCUUCCCAUAGAAACCUGCUGAUUAGUUCUUGCAACAAGAAAUCAUAGCUAUGCAGAUAUAUUUUCCAUGAAUUUGGGAUGUAAAGUUGAAAUUAGGAAUAGACAAACUCCUAUUGUUGAUAUUUGUAACAAUGUGAAACAUACAAGUCAUUACAGGGGAAAAAGGAGUGGCUCUGUGUUAUACUCCAAAGAUCAUGACUUGAAGCAUGUAAACACCCUACAACGACAUUCAUCUAAACUAUCAGGACCAUGAGUUCACCCCAGAGACCAAACAUGUAUCAAGGUACGAUAAAUUUAACAUCUAUUGCUAGACAUUAAGCUCCACCUCCCCCCAAAGAAAAAAAACACAAGAUGAAAUUUACAUCUUCAGGAAAAUAUAUUGGCAAAGCUGUCGCUGAUACAUUUCAGACAAUUGCCCAAAACUUCUUCCUACAAAUUAAUACGGUUUCACUGUUCUUCUUUAUGUUGUCCAGCACAUGUGAUUCAACCUCCCACAAAAAUUUUGGAGCAAGAUCCUUGAUCGUUGAUGUAAUAGCAUCCUCAUCUCUAAUGAUAAUAAAUCCCUGUACAUCAACACAAUACCAUUGUGAACUAUAUACAGUACAACUUGGGACAGAAACAAGUUGCACGCGAUAUAUUUUGGCAGGCCAAUAACUAAAAGGAGUCUUAAAUAAAGUAAUCCACCAUUUGCUACAGCACCAAAUGCUAAACAAUAAUUGUCGAGAAAAAAAAAUGCUAAACAAUUUUAAUGGAAGAAAGACAUUAGCAUGAAACUGUUGUGUGAAAACAGCAGUUUCAUUCAACUAUAAAGAAAAUUUGAAUAUGAAUAAACACAUUUGAAUGUAAGGUUUCAAGAAGUAGCUAAACUAAAACAGCAUCUAUGCGACACAGAAUGGCCAGUAUGAUAUUUGAUAGACUCAAAUGGUGUGUCGUAAAGUUAUUUAUGUUGACAUUUGUUUAUCUUUUGGUUUUCCAUGAUAUGGAAUAUUAAUGUAUGAAUAGCAUCCUAGAAUCAUUUCACUAAGGUUCUGCGGCUUAUGUUGAAUGGACUUGCUGAAUGGAAAACAGUUAUUCUUGACUCUUGGUUAUCACUCAUACGUUUCUAUAUAUUCUCUCUAAACCGCUGAUUUUCCUUCUCUUCUAAAUCCCAAGAUUCUACAUUCUGUCAAUCCGCUUGGUGUUACACUGAAAAGGACAAUGACUAGUAUAUUCAAGAACAAAUAUUCAGAAGAAACACUUCCCUAUAUUGUGAUCCAGUAAGCAUAAUGGUAAAGAAAUAGUUGGUCAUGAGUACGUAAAACUAAAAUCAUAGUGUGACAAAUGAAAUGAAAAGACUAGAAAGAGAAAGAGACCAACACAUCCUCAUAAAAGGAGAUAAACAUAAUAAGAUGGAUAGUAGGAUUGUACAAAACCAGCCUUUCUCAAGUGCGGACGUCCGCACCAAAGUUUUGGUGCGGAUUUCCAUUUUUGCAUCACUUCCCGAUCGAAUUUCCUCAAACUUCCUUCUAGACACAUCUAGAUCAUCUUGUGUCGAUCAUCUCUGCAAAAUUUCAGCCAAUUUGGUGAUGGUUAAGGCCCUCAAAAUCGAAANNNNNNNNNNNNNNNNNNNNUCUUGUAAUUCACCUUUAUAAUAGAAUGAGAGAGUUCCUCGUGAGCCUUGUUAUUUGACAUUGUAAACGUUGGUUACCCUAGAGGUUUCUUAUGCAAUUUCUUUUUUCUUUUAUAAAAUAAAACAUGUUUUAUUUGUCGUGUCAGAAAAUUGUCGAUAAACAAAAUAUAUAUAUAUAUAUUUAUAGAUAUACAGGAAUUCUCAGGUGCGGAUGUCCGCACCUAAGUUUUCGUGCUGAUUUCCAUUUUUGCACCACUUUCUGAUCGAAUUUUCUCAAACUUCCUUCUAGACAUAUCUAGAUCAUCUUGUGUAGAUCAUCUCUGCAAAAUUUCAGCCAAUUUGGUGAUUGUUAAGGCCCUCAAAAUCGAAAAACAAAUCUGAUGGACUGAAUUCUGUACGGUUCAUCAUCUCCAUUUGUUUUUCGAUUUUGAGGGCCUUAACGAUCACCAAAUUGGCUGAAAUUUUGCAGAGAUGAUCCACAAGAUGAUCUAGAUAUGUCUAGAAGGAAGUUUGAGGAAAUUCGAUCGGAAAGUGAUGCAAAAAUGGAAAUCCGCACCGAAACCUUCGGUGCGGACGUCCGCAGCCGAGAAGGCCUGUGUACAAAACUGCCAGAAUAUAAAAUCUAUGCACUGAACAUGGAGAAUAAUACCUAUUCACGUUAGGAUCUACGAAUAAUACUAACUGCUAAACAUACUGAUAACAAAAGAUCCAUGGUAGAGUACAAUUUAACAAUUACUACGCUGCACAAGAAUAAUACCAGGGUAGCCCCCCGGAUGAAUAAAUUAGGGUAGUUCAAACUGGCUCAGUUCAAUCCCUAGUAGUGUCAGGUUACUUGGAUUGAAUUACAUCAAUGUCCAAGGCAUCCUUACUUAGGGUUCUAGGUUUUCUAGGUCUCUAGGCAGGGUAGCACCCUUUAUGGGUGAGUUACUGUGUAUUGUAUGCCUCUCUCUACUUACUUAAUGGAUUGACACCCUUUUGUUAAAAAAAGGAAUAAUAUUAUGUCCAAUAACACAAAAGCAAAGAAAGUAAAUUAAAAAAGAUAAUUGGCUGAUGAGAAGUACGUUCAACUUAUAGUCAAUGGGACUAAAGCAAGGAAAAGGUUGGUAAACUAUUGAUGCAACUUGGAAUGAAAAGUAUGCAGAAGGUAAUUAAUUUCCCAACCUCAGCAUGACUAGAGAGAAUGUUUUCCCUACUCUUGUAAGAUAUAACAUAAAUUUAUGUCUUUGAUACUCGAACACGAACAGUUAACACUAAUAAAAAAUGUUACCUGCGGUCUUAUCAUCCUGUCCAUUUCCAACAGGAUAUCCUCCAACAAGCAGCCUUCUCCACAUUCCUUAUAAUGAGAGAAGAGGAAGUUGGCAUGCAAUAGAUCAUAUGUGCGUGGAUAAGUAGAAAAUGGUUCACACCUGAAAUUAGAUAGGGAUGAGAUGUCACAUACUAAAUUUGGGGAUUCUCUCUGUAUUUAUUUUCUUUUAUUCAUAAUUUGAACCAACAAAUUUGAUACUCAGAUUCUAGAAUCAAGACGUCACAGACAAAGAACAUACCAAUCAUGGAAAGCACCAAUCAGACCACGGUCAUAAAUGGCAGACAAUGUAUUCUUCAUGGUUGCAGGAACUAUAUUCAUCACCCACAUCGGUGAUGAAUCUAAGGCCACAGCAAAUCCACCACAAAAAGCAUUCAUGUCCAUGACAUUUCGUAUUUCUGUCUUGUUCACAUUCAGCAGCCACCAGUAAUGCUGAACUUGAUCUUGCCAAAAGACAGUCUCCGAAGUAAAUUCCUCUUGACUAAUACCUAUUAUGAACACAAUAAUGAGGAACUUGUUCAGACUGAAAAAUAUUUAUUUUUCAAGUUCAUAAACAAACAAAGAAAGUAAAGCGCUCUCCAGUAUUCCAAGUUCUCCAGCCCUUAUAUUAACAUCAUGAAAUAAAGCUGCUCAAAAUUUGGUUUAAUUUUGGACAAGAGGUUUCCACAGCAGGAUCAAGUGAAUAGAACUUGCAGGCUACAUAGUAUAACUCUAUAAUUUUACUCUGCAAGCUCAACCUUUUUCUCUAGAUCCCUCCAUAACCUUUUUCUCUAGAUCCCUCCAUAACCUUCAAUGUGUUGGAAGCUCAACAUUUUCAGAAAAGAAACUUGACAGAAUAAAGGAAAUAAAGUAAAUUUAUCCAUAGUCAAGUACUAUUUGUCUAGAGAUCAAGAAUCUAAGUACAACAAAAUAUAGCUAAGUAGAAGAAAAUUUUAGGUACUUAUAUGGAUAUAAGAUUGACCUGGGCCUGGAGAUAACUCUUAAUGUGUGUACUAACCUCAUAUAACGAGGGAAUAUGCAUCAUCAAAACCAAAACUUGUCAUUCUUAACUUUAAUUUGGUGUUAUAUGCAUGAAGUUGCCUCAUGUCAACUUGGGAAGUACUAAAGACAAUAGAUAGGAAAAGUAAAUAAAAGAGAAUCGAAAAGGAGAAGCAGCGAACCAAUUUUUUUAAGACUCUCCGAGUAUAUUGAUAGACGAUCUGGUUUAGAAGGGAGUUUUGGAGCAUUUGUUUGCAUGCCCCUUACUUGUAUACAAUUUCCCAGUUUUGUAUUCCAGAAUGACUUAGAAUCAUCAGCAGCAUCACAUAUAUCUAUAAGCUUCUGUUCAGAAAUGCGCUGAAGGCAUGCUGGAUCUUCUUGUUUCAUCCAAAUAGCAGUCUGAACUCUUUUAGCAAUGAGUUUCCAACACAUUGCCGAAGUCAGAUUCACUAACUUCUCCCAAAUUAUUGGAAAGUCUUUAUCCUUUCUAUAAGCAGGUGGUGCUGAAUAGACGAAGUACCCAUUAGAACGCAGAAGGCGAUCCACUUCUUUUAGAAGAAUACCAUCUGCACAAAAAAGAUAUAAGGAAAGGAAAACACAGCAUAAGACCACUCAUUACAAAUAUAGUAAAUUAGUGAUGAGACUGAACACACUGCAAGAUCUAUGAACAGUAAUGUUAAAGGUAUUCUCACCAAAUCUAAUAUUGCUUAGUUAUACCUCAUAUCCCAGCACAAAAAUUAUCAUCAUUUAUUCUUUUUAUAGCAUGCCAAGCAAAUAAGUCCAGAUAUAUUGCUACAACUAACAUGAACAAUGCUAGUUCCAUUUGUCAAACUUGAACAUAAGAAUUCGGUAUGGAAAUCUUUAGAUACUGUUCAUAUGAUCUUUCAUUCUUUUGUUAUCAACACAUAUCAUCUCGUGGAGAAGUUGAAGUCUUAGCGUAUUUUUACAUUUAGACUUCUUUUUCCUUUUCAAAUAUAUUUGUGUAUGGAUACCAUGUAGAUCACCAAUAGUCCAAUACAUAUGAAGUAUAUAAAAGACAGUUACCAUUUUCAUGCCAAUCAACACGACACCUAGAACAAUGAACCAUCUCAAACGAGCUACUGGGAUAUGGCAACUGCUUUGUUGCUAUUGCCGAGAUCAUUGCACCAAUGCCACGCUCUAGAGAAAACUGAAUUUGAUUCUCAUGUCCAUCCUUGGGAGCAAAGGACAUGGUCUGUACACCCAAGGGAAGAAGGAAAGCAGAAAAGCUGGAAACCCCACAACCAACAUCCAAAACUUGAACAACCCCUGCAGUACGCAGAUCACCUGAAUCAUUGGUUAUCAUAUUUCCCAAUCUGCAAACGCCAGAACAAUCUAUUAAAGUAACUGAAAUCAAGAUCCAGACAUUGAAAUUGAAAUUGAAUUUCAUCUUAAUUAGUCUAUCAGUGGAGAUUAUAUGACCAAUCAUGUAUCACAUUUAUUAUUCUCCCUCCCAAAACUUGCAUUAUAUUAGGAACCCUUUUCACAAUAUGAUGAAUCAGAUCUUCAAUUAAUGCUGCCCCCAAUUUGUAUAGGGUGAUUGUCAACUUAGGUCCUGAAUUGGAAUCAACAUAACCACAUGACAGGUUAUAUAACUAAAAUGUCAUAUGCACUAAAACCAACAGGUCAAGUUUGUAAACAAAUUGAAUGCAGAUACCUCUGAAUGUAUUCAGGUGCACCAUGUUUAAAAUGGGUACCACCACCGGGGAACCACCAGAGUUGAUCCUUCUCAUGAACCCAAUUCUGUCCUCCUUUGACUUCAGCAAGAUGAGUAUGGUUCACAUUGCUUCGCCACACAUAGUCCCUGCUGAUUGGCCAUCUUAUAGGAAUCUUAUAAUCUCUGGGUGGAGGAACCAAGCAAAACAAGCGCUGUUGAACUGGAGGGCAGUGUCUCUCUAGUUCUUCUCUUCUACUAGUGUCCAAACUGGGGAGCAAAGUUUGUAUGUAUGAUACAUUAUGGCAAGGGAUAUAUUCAUUGAAACUCGAGGGACAAACAUCCACACCAGUCUCUGGUAUCACGAGUGGUGUUCUUCUAUAUGUUAAUUCGACUUUGUUCGCAAACGAGGAAGUACCUGCAGCACCAGAAUGAGAGCCCAAUAAAACUCAGAUUUCUUCAACAAGCCUUAUAUUGAAUCUUGGAGCUUACCAGGAAAUGAGAAAUUGUUGCUGAGCUGCGAGAAGUAAUUGGGAGCAUUUUGGCGAAAGAGAGUUCCAGCAUAGAAGGACCCAAGCAUUAAUAGGAGAGCUAAGGUUAUCAUCUGCCAUGACUCUAAUUUAAAAGCUGAACCUCCUCCCAUUUCCUCAAUUACCCAAUUGGGUUGAUUUACGGAGGAAUCGAAAUGUGCUUUUGGGGAGUGUGAUCUGAGGGUUCUAGGAUGAACAAGGAUUUGAUUCAGAUCGACAUUGUCGCCGAAUCCAGUGCUGAGCUCUGGUUCAGUUUUACUUCACACGAUAUGUGCACGUGCCCCCUCCGAUGACGUUUCUAGAGCAGUUGUAUAGUUAAUUUAUAAUUUAACUAUCUCUACUACUAUAAAGGAGGGAAGCCCUUCAAAGUUUCACCAAAUUAUGUUCUUCUUAAAUUAUCUUUAUUGUGUUUAAUUAAAACAAUUAAGUAAACUAAACAUUGUAGUAAAAAGUAAAAAAAUAAAAUAUCAAAAAUAGAGUAGAUAAUUGUGAAAAUUAGGAAGUUAAAAGUUUUAACUGCAAACAAGAAACUCCCCUGCAACAUUAAACUCCCCACUAACUUCACAAAAAGAAAAAACAGCUACAAAUGAGAAAAAUAACUACCUACUAACUAUAACUUCUAUACGCGAGUUUCGCGUGUAUAAAGGCUAGUAGUUAGAAAAUUUAGCUAUUUAUAUAACAAUUUAGCUAUAGUAAUAGUUAUUUAUCAAUUCUGCUUAAUAUUUUUUUGGAAUUAGCAAUCUUUUAGGCAUAUUAUUAGAGCUCUGUUGUAGAGAGAAUAGAUAAUCAUCAUCUUAUUCAUAUGAUAUGAGUCUUUUAUAUAGGGAUUACAUAACACAUUUAGGCGUUGUACAAGGAAACAUAACUUUGAUAUCUUAUUUCUAUACGGAAUCAGGAUUCCUUGUUUAACUAACAUUAGAACAAGGCACACACAUGUGCAAUAUUUCUACAACACUCCUCCUUGUGCCGCGUGUCUACAUGUCGAAUGGUGCAUACGGUGUUGCCUCGUUAAAACUUACCAAGUAACAAAAACCAUGUGGGAAAAACUAAAUCUUGGUCAAAGGAUGAAAGAGUAUAACGCAUCAACUACUUCAUUGAGAACUCGAUCAUGUGAUGCUCCCCCUGAUAAGUAUCUUAAUCGAAGAGACUUGAUAAACGUCGCAUUCCAAUGUUUUUCACAUGUUUCUCAAAAGUAUGUCAUGUGUAAUGAUUAACCUUAACCAAACAUGUUCAUGAAUAACUUCAUGUUGAUCAAUGAUCUAUGCAAGAGACAAGCGGUGUAUGUGAUGUUGCCUCAUUAAAAACCUUGUCAAACAAAAACCCAGUAGGACAAAAGUUUUGGUCUAAAGGAAAAAGAGCACAACAGGGUUGAUACGACACAACCGUACCCCACAUUUGAUAAUGACAUGUAUGUGCUAGACUCCCCCUGAAGUCUGCAUCUCUCUCUUAUUCUUAUAUCAAUCAUAAGGCGCAUCCUGAUUCUUAUCACGGAAGUAUCAAUAACUUAGCAUAUCAAUGCUCUUUAACAUGUCUUAAUGUGGAAUUAGAUAAUGAUUAACUAAAUCAUGUCGUAUGGACCUCAAUUCUGAUCUUUCACACAUUGAUCUUGAGGAGAAAGCUGCUUGAGAACUUAAAACACAAGUUCGUGCAGAAAAUCAGAUUCUCGAGCAGCAUGACCUUCGGGGACUAAAACAGCCAUAACUUCCUAUAGAAAAUAGAUAUCGACGAACCGUAAGAAGAUAUGGAAAGUAGAUUCACGUAGCGUUCCAACCAUAGGUAAUACACAGUUUCGUUCAUCCGGAGCUAUUCACAAAGCUCUGUCGAUUUUGGCUGAUCAAAAAAGGGCAGAUUUUCUGAUUCCGCUUUUGAUGCAUCUUUACUCAUGCAUAGUUAGUGAUGGCGUAGAUAGCGUGCAUUCUAUCAUGCCAUAUUCUAUGUAGGGAUUGAAUAAGCCCAAAUACAUUUAUGUAUUGAAAGGAUGUCCUUAUGCCAUUCCAUUGGCGUUGCGUGGGCGCAGAGUUACACUUAGCUUUACAACUUUUCAUAACGAAUGAGAGGUCAAGUCUUUCUUUGUCAUCUUCCAUUAGACGAAAACAUAUCUCUCUUUAGAGUAAAGACUUUGACUAAUCAUAGGAGUAUAUGUAGACCUCACUCUCAUUAGAGUAUCUAAACCGAUUGAUGGAAAAACAUCAUCAAUACCGUCCUCGAGUACCUUUUCGAGACCAUGUCUUCCCAAGAUCUUUUCAUUCUUAACUUCGGAUGUUUGAUUCAUAUUGGCAUCUCUUGUCCAUCAAGAGUCCAUGUAAAUCCGAAAAAAUCAACACGCAAGGGCACUAUUCAUCAUAUCCCUUCCCAAUCAAGUAGUUACUUAGUGUGUGUUCCAACCUCUCUUGCAAACGCACGCUCCUGUGGUCUGGAGCCACUUGAUUUGGGUGGAUGAAGUCUCUUCAAGACCUUCAUGUAUAUCUCUUAUCCCAUAGAGAUGUGUUUACAACCACAUUCAUAAGCUGCAUGUCCAGUUAUUCGGAAAAUACCAAACUGACAAAGUAGUGGAGUGCAAUGACAUCCAUUACGAGAGCAUAUCUCAUCGUAGUCAAUCCCAGUGCGUGUUAGUGAGAUACCUUGCGUCAUGAGGUGAGUCUAAGCUCUUGUUCUCAUUACGCUAUCUAAUGAAGACAUAUUUCACAUGGUUUAUACUUACGGUGUCAGCAUCACCCCCAAGGACCUAUCUCUUUGUUAUGCUAGAUUGCAUAUUUUCGUUAGGCCAAUCUACUACGUCGAUUUAUUAAUGAAGUGUGGUUCGAUCAAGGAGGAAAAUUUUGAUGGUUACGGAAAUUUCGACGGAAAUUUUGGGGAAAUAUCGAUUGCAGUUAAAAAAUGAGAAACUUGAUGGAAAUCUAAAGAAAAACAAGGAAAUUUUAAAUGAAACCUUGAGAGAUGUUUAUUUUCUAUAUUAUCUACUAUAUUUGAAAAGAUAACCUUGAAUAAACAUUAAUCUAUAGGGAAUUGUAGUAAUUUAAGGGGAAAAAGUAAUCACUGAAUCGUUGAUAAUUCUUAAAAAUUUACUUUAAACAUUUUUUUAUGGCUGGAAACCCAAACGAAGGCUAGGUCAUCACGCCAUACAUUUCACAUGGAAUUACAUAAGUAAUUUAAAAUCACAUAAAAGACCUAUGAGGUAUAAAAUUUUCACUAUCGUCAUCGUCUCUCUGUAUAUAUCCUUUAGUGUAUUGUGAAGAAUAAUCAUUAAAUGAUACCUCACGAAGAGAAUAAUGAAAAAUGGAAGUAGCAGAUCAUGAAAUGGAUUAGAAAGGAUUAAAUUGAUGUAGGAAUUUUUUUUGAAAUGUAAUUAUGGAAAAUUUGACUUGUUGAUAAUUAUAAAUAGGAAUUAAGAAGUGUAGGUGAAAAAUACUUAUAAGUUAAUUGUAAACUAGAUAUUUACAUAAUUUUAUAUAUUUCAGAUUCGUAAAAAAGGAAAUAUAUAUCAUCAAGAUGCAAUAAUGAAUAACUUGGAUGCUUAGCAAAGUUGGUUAUGGCAUUGAAAUUGUAUCAACCCAACCAGGGUUCGAGACAUCUUAGGAGCAAAAUUUGGUUUUGGUUUGAAUUUUAGUUUGGAGACAAGGGGACAAAGGGACAAGUUGGCCACGUGGGGUGCAGAGAAUGGAGACAAGGGGACAAGUUAAACAAUACAAAUUAGCCACGUGGGGUGCGGCCCAUGAGUUAGUGGCACUUUCCGGAAUAUUUCAAAAAUAUCGGUGAGAAAUUGAAUAUUUUGUCGAAAUAUUGACAUUUUCGAAUGAGAAUGCUUUGAAAGGCGAAAUAUCGCUGAAAAAAUCGAUUUUUUCUUCUUUGGGUUCAAUAGUAAACUCAUUAUUCCCCGUCCUCAUGUCACUAGUGUAAUACUAUUAGAUAUCUUAAUAUGGAUUGGAUUUGACAUUGAAGUGUCCCCUAAUGAUAAUCAUAAUUCAAACUACAUGAAACAAAUUUGAGUAUCACCGUUCUACGUAUUUGAGGAGAGGAAGGAUUUGAAAUACAAUAGAUAAGGUGUUUUUUAUUAAUUCAGACAUCACAUUCUUUUUGUGUUUUUUUUUUUCAUUUCUUUAUCCAAUCAUGUAUUUUUCUCCCAUUACUUACCCUCUCUCUCCUCAUUCUAUUUUAGAUGGAGUACUAGUUCAAAUAGUUUAAUAUUUAUAUUUGGCAAUCGAUUAGAAUCUGUAAUACCCCGAUAAUUUUUAAAGUAAAUGAAUAUAUAUAUAUAUAUAUAUAUUAUUGAUGUUGAGAUGUGAGUCGAAAUUAAAAUACCGUGGUAAUACGAAUUAGAUGUUUUGAAAUAUGUUUUUGAUACUUUUUUAUGUGCCUCAGAAUAUGUGUAUAAUGAGUAGUAUAUGCACAUAUACCCUCUCAAUUAUAGUAAAGUGAAUAAGUAAGAAUAUAAUAUUAUUUGAGAUAUAGUGAAGAUGGUGGUUUGAUAUUGUUUAGUAAAUUUCAAGGCUUAUGGAAAAUGAUAGCAUGAUUUUAUUUGAGAUUUAGUGGAGUUAUAGAGAAUUAAGGAGUUGGAGAAGGAUGGUCGUAGGACUAUUCUGUGUUGUUUGGAAUGAAGAACGGUAGUAUUUUUCUAUUUAUUUUAGUUACCAUAGUUGUAAUUGAGUUGAUUGGAGAGCUUGAAUACCAGAAAAUGGAAUCUCUUAGCAUAGUUUUGGCUCUUUGAAAUAUUGGGGUUAAUUAUAGAUUUUGAACUUAAUCUGAAGUUCAUUGUUGACAGUGUAGUUGAUGAGUUAUUUGGACUCAUUCAUGUUUUCAAUUUUGUAUUGAAAUUUAUAUAGGUCAAUAGAUUAAGGUUAUUAUGUUUGAAAUAGGCUUGGUUAUUUUCAAAUUGUGUUUGAAGAGCGAUAGAUUUGAAAAUGUCAGCAAGAAUCAAGUUAAGAAAAAUAUAGGGUAUAGUUUAUUCAUUUUUGGGUUAGGGUGUUACAUAUUUCGUUUAUUUCGAAUUAGACUUUCUUUUUCUUUCUUCAUUGUCAUUACAAUUAAUUUUAGAUGUCAUUUAGGUUUUUUGUGCUUUUUUCUGGUUGUUUGGGUUUUUAUUUUUUUCGUUUUGUAGUUAUUUUUGGCUAGUGAAUAAUAGGAUUGGAUUCAACAAUUGUUGGUACUUGGUUUGUCUGCUUUGCAAAUCAUUGUGCCUGACAUUUAUAAUAUAGUGUAAUCAUUCUCUAGCUUGACAAAGUGACAUUGUAUUUCAAUAAAUGGAGUCUGACUUCGUUUCCCUCAACAGAAAAAAAAAAAAGUUUUAGAUGUUGCUAGAUAUAUUAAGAAUUUUGAUGGGUUAAAAUACCCUUGUAAGAAUUCCUUCUCCUUUAAUUUGGGUAUGCGCAUGUCACCAAGAGUACACUCACUAUCUAUGUACUCUAAAUUUUUGUAGAGUAUUAAAGUUUUAAAUGCAUAUUUUUUCUUUAAGGGAAAUGCACAUUUUUUUAAGGGAAUAUUUAAAUAUUGAAUCAUUCAUAUAACGAUUUAGAUUAUGAUUGUUGUUGACAACACUAUUAGAGCAUCUCUAACAGCUCAUGUAAAACUAGAAUUAUUUAUAUUAUAUUGCUUAUGCAUCUAACGCUCUUUCCUGCCUAAAACUAGAGGUGGAUUUGGUACAGUUAUCGGCUUUUUUUUACUAGUACCGUGUACAAACCAACUUAUGAUUGGUAGACAAAAUUUGCUACCAAUACCAGCCGCCGAAGUCGGUAUACCGACUUCUCGGUACUGGCUAGUACUGGUUGGUAACGGGCCUCUAUCAAUAUAUUAAUCUGGGCCAAAAUAGUUCAAGGCCCAAUCCAAUUACAUAACCCUUCACCCUCUCAGACUCGGACCCUCCACGGCUUCCACCACCAAUUCCUCGUUGAACUUCCCACUAACCAAUUCCACCACUAAGGAAUUAGCAUCUAAAAGACAAAAACACAUGCAAAAUUCAAUAUACUAAACAAAAUCAUAUCAAAUAUCAAAACAAAGUGUAAACAGAACAAUAUGUAAUUCCACUAUGCUCAUGUGUUCACCUGUUACAGAAGUAACCUAGAUAAACCAUCACUUUUUGUCACACUGCAAAUAAAUUCACUAUCUUUUCACUGUUCCUUACAUCCUAAUUCCCAACAACCAGAUAAUUAGACUUUUUCCAUAAUUGUAUUCCUUUGAACUAAUCAACUCGACUCUAGGCUCACACGAAAUUCAAUCAGCUCAAUUAAGAUCUAAAGAGCGAGAGGUGUUUAGUACCCAUGACAGAAAUCUUGAGCAUUUUCAUGGACAUGAUUAGGGCUGGGCACGAGCCCAGACCGGCAGACUAUUUACUAGGACCGGGACCAGAUUGAGCGUACCAGAACCGGGCCGAGAUUUGUUGUUAUCAGAUGAGGGACCAACCAAAACCAGAACCGUCACAAGCCGGGCCUACAGUGUGACUGAAAAUCUGCUGCAUAAGUGCAUAAACUGCUACAUAAUCUGAACAAAAGCUUACAUACAUCCUUAUUAAAGUACAACACAAAACAAAACCUGCUACAUAAGUGCAUAAACUGUAAUCUUAUCUCUCACAAUUGCAAAAAAUCAACUUGUAAAUGAAAGGUAAAAUGAAAUUAUGCAAGGCAGUUGUGAGUUGUUAGAACUCAUAAGUCAUAACUGAAAACUCAUAACAACUUAACAAGUUUAUAUAGCAUAAAUGCAAAUGCCUUAAUGCCUUACAGUCCAAAAAUCCAAAUUCUAAAAUGCCAACAAAGCAGCUCCAUCUCCAUGACUGAACAGCAAGUAAUGAUGCAGCUCCAUGACUUCAAGUCUUCAACUUUUCAAUGAUAUGGGUUGUUGUGCACUUCACUUUUUACCUAUAAGACAAAAUGGGAAUAUUAGUGUAUAACACAUUAACAAUGUAACAUUAAUAACAUUGAAAACCUGGACAACUUCAAACCAUGACUUCAUGAACCAUGAAGCAUUAAAAAUUUAAAAUUAUACCUUUCGAUUUCUUCGAUGCAAGAACCAUCUGUUUAAGUUUUGCAGGCUGGGACUUGGCUUGGACAUCAGCAGCAGCUGGAACAUUUUUUUUUUAUAAUGUUGCAAUUGGAGUAGAAGGACCUGCUGUGUCACUUUUUUAGCAACUUUUGCUGCUUUCUUCAACUUGUUGGGCUGUGAGGUCCUGAGGGACCUGUUGCCGCCACAACCACAACUUCAUCUUCACUUUCUGUUUCUGAUACAGCCACAAGCUUUCCUUUUCCCUUUCCCUUUCCUUUUCCCUUUGCCUUCUUUUCCUUUGCCUUUCGCUUUGCAUCAUCUAAAACAAAGUUCGAAAGAAUGAAACAAAUCAAGUCCAAUUUAUAAUAUUAAUAAAAUUUUCAAGAAUGCAAUGAUGCAAACAUAUCUCUUUCCAUCUUUUCAUAAAAUUCAAUCUUUUCUUGGCUUGGAUAAUACUCAAUUUCGGACUGAUCUUUUUUCUUUAUCCAAUUUUGCACGCAAAUCAAUGCUUCCAUUGUUUUAGGAAUUAAAGAACUCCUAAAAGGGUCAAUCAAUCUAUGUCACGCCCCAAUUAUUGAAGGAUAAUUUUUCAAAAAUUUGAACAUGAUAUAACUCAAAAAUCUUAAUAUCCCAUACCUGGUCAAUGAUCUUCAAAGAAAACCAAAACUCAAAAGCAGAAAUGUAAUAUCAACAAACUCAUCAACCGAGUUAAACAUUAUAUCUCCUUAAUUACAUCAACUUCAAAAGUCUAGUAAUAAUAAAGUCGCUCACAUGAGCUUAAAAACAAACCGCCAUAAUAUAAUAAAAUAAAGUGCACAGAAACUAAAAUCCUGCCACUAUGCCUCCGCCUCAAGCUUGCUGAUCAUCACCUGCAGGUCUAACCCCUACACCAUGAAUUGGUGCACCGGGUUGUAAACAACAAAACCCGUAAGCUAAAAAGCCCGUAUGAACUCCCAAAAAUAACUCAACCCAACAUUACACAAGAUAAAACUUGUAAUUUCUGCUUUAAAACUUAGUUAAGGAAUCGCCUCAAAACAAUAAAAUUCAAAAGAGAAUAAAUAAUAAAACACCACAAUUCACAAACAAUCAAAAUCAUAAGUGAAAUCCUGCAAAAAUGAUAGUUCAGGAAUUCCACUAAAAAUCACACAAAUAAGAUUAAAGAAUCUCCUACAUUAAGCAUAGUUCAAGAGAUACUCAAAACAAGGAAGUUAAAUGACAACAAUUAAGAAUAAAGUUAAAAUCACAUAACCAAUACUUUACAAAAUACAUGUACCCAUGAGUCCUAGAUACCAAUAAGGUAUCUCCCAUGACCUACAACAAACACAUGUACCCAUGAGUCACAGAUAUUAAUAAAUACCUCUCAUGACCUACAACAACAAUUUAUAUACCCAUGAGUCCCAGAUACAUUCAGGUACCUCCCAUGACCUACACGGACAGAAGGACUAGAGCUCUAUUCCUAACCUUAACCAAUCACCCGGCCAAAGGCUUGGAACUCAGUUUAACUGUUCAAUAUCAAAUCACAAAAUAAUAAUAGCAUCAUAACCGUAACCCAUCACCCGAUUAAAGGCUUGAAACCCGGUUUGACUAUUUAAUAUCAAAUCAAAAAAUAGUAGAAUCAUCAUAACCGUAACCAAUCACCCGAUUAAAGGCUUGGAACCCGGUUUGACUAUCUAAACCACAAAUCACAAUAUAAUAAAAUCAUCAUCAAUCAACACAAAGAGCACAUCAUAAAAAUUAUAUCCUUCCAUAUAGAUAUAUUUAUACGAACAAACAUAGUUAUUCCCUCAAGAAUAAUCUAUCAAUAGCCAAAACAUUAUGAUCACAUGAACCUUAAAAAUAAUCAUAUAAUAAGAAAACUUGUUUUAACUUACCUAUGAGCCGUUGGCGAUCAAGCUCAUAUAUUUUAAAUAAACAAAAACAUAAUUUUUAAAAUUAUAAUCAUCAUCAAAAUCAUUAUCAUCAUCACAACCAUCAUCAUAAUCAUCAUCAUAAUCAUUAUCAUCAUCACAACCAUCAUCAUAAUCAUCAUCAUAAUUAUCAUAAAUAAUUGGUCCAAAGUGGACAUUUGUGAGAUGUUACUCACCUUUAUAUUCCCACUGCGUCUUCACCAAAAACACAAGGAACAAACUCACUCACAAUUCCACAAGCUACCUAAUUAGCACAAAAUAUAACCUUAUUAUCCACUUAAUAAGAAACAAAGUACCCUUAACCAACCCUUAACCUAAAGGUUGCCCAAAGGAGGGCAAUCCUUCCUCCGAGACCUCCCAAGGUCGUCGGACACUUAACAACCUAUCCAAGCUGCCUCCAAGUUCAACUUCCAAAGUUUACAACUUAACAAACCUCAAUGAUUAACAUAACACCUAAACUAUCAAAUCAACACUUAACCUUAUCACACAACAACACUCACAACUACAACAACUAGUUAACACAGCCACCCAAAUUCACUCACACUGCUCGGACGUGCUUCCACGCGGCGGCGAGAAGGCCCCACGCGCCACCCCAUCAACUUCAAAAUCUGAGCAAACUCCCAACAGCAAACUUGUAGGUCACAUCAAAUGAAACACUUUUCAUACCUGUGGCCAAAGCCAAUUCGGCCGAAAAGAGGCCGAAAAUGUCGCCGAAAAGAAACAAGGAGCAUUUCGAACUCCAAAGCUCCACGCUUUGAAUUAGGAUUCAAGGCUGGUAUCAUCGUGCUCAGAAGGACAAGAACUUCUAGAAAUGGGUAGCCUCAAACCUCGAUGUCGCCGGAAUCAGUUGGAGCUUUACCGUCGCCGGCACCAGUAACUUGCGGGCCUUGCUGCGCCGUGCACAGUACUCCAUAGGGUGUGAGGCUGGUAUGAAUAGAAAGAGGGGAGUGAGAGCUUUCCAACGAUACCAAACAAGCCCAAAUCCGUCACCGGAUGGCCGAGUUAUGGCCGGAAGAAAUUUGAGGGUGAAAAUGGAGACGGGAGAGAGAGAGAGAGAGAGAGAGAGAGAGAGAGAGAGAGAGCGCUAGGGACCGGGGGGGGGGGGUUUAUUAGGGUUCCAAAAAUAAAAACCCCAAACUUUUCCUAUUAUACUAAUAAUCCCGAAAACCACAAGACUUCCGCUGGCCAAAACUUCUUCCUACGAAGUCCGUUUUACGCGUGAUGCAUGUCUAAGAACUCGUAUCACCAAGCUCUACAACUUCCGUGAAGGAAGUUUCUCGAGAAACCCAACGAAUAAAAAGUCAACUCUAUGACCCUUAAAGAAACAAAAAGAACCCUUUUUGGGAAAUUUACGCGUCCGAACACUUCCGCUCUUUCUUCGAACCUUAAAAACACACUAACUUCUAACUCGAAAACUCCCAAAUAAUAUUAGAAACUAAUAUCAAAUUUCCGAGGUAUUACACUCUACCUCUAGUAUAGAAGGAGGACUCGGAUGCAACGGUGCUAACCUGGAUAGCAAGUACAUCCUUUGCCACAAGAGCAAGGUUUGGAUACUUGCAGCCAUUUGUCUUCCACCAACUUAGUAGACACCAACUAUCUGCUUCUCGUUUUGGUGGAACCUCGAUUGGAUCAAGUAGGUAUCUAUCAACUUCACUCUCAACAACAACUUCGUCGGAUUCAGCUAAAGCUUUUUGCCACCCUACAAUAAAAAGAGAAUACAUCACACAGUAAGUUUUAACAUUGAAAGUAGCAUAUAAAGUUAUAAACAUAAAUAGAAAGUAGGUACUACCUUCCAACAAGUUAGCCAUUUUCCCUGUCAUCUUCACAUUCUUGGACUUCUUCGACUUGAAAGAUGAUGAGGUUGUUGUUUUUGUGCUGCCGGAAACGACACUUGCUGCAGUGCUGCACUUAAAAGAUGCGUUGCCAUUGGUUGAUGCAUUGGAUGAUGUUCUAUAGAUGUCAGUUAAGGAUACCAAGAGCUCCUUAACAGAGUUGGCCUUGGCUUUUGCUUCCUCAGCUGAAUAUUGGAGCACUUGUAGGUAAGUAUGAGUUAUGUUCUUCAGCUUGAACCUAGAAUCCAAUAUUAAUGCAACCAACAGAAACUAAUUCAUGUCUUCAAUACAUCCAAAAUAUUUUCUAAACUUGGCAAACAUAUUUUUUGCCAUCUUCAACAUUAGCAAUUGAACUUCAGUAUUAGUUUCAGCCACAUGUGCAAACAGUGCAUUAAUCUCCCCUUCUAUUGCUACAAUGUCAUGAAAUGCUUUAUGAGCAGUGGGGUGUCUAGUCAUACUCAUCCUCAUUGUCACAUAUAAAAAACCCUCAAGAUCAACACAAAUAUUUUAGCCUUUUCCCAAUCCUCCUCUUAUGGUGGUCCAACUGUUGUUUUUCUUGUUGUUAGUGUCACCGGAACAUACUCUUGUUCUUCUUCCUCCUCGAUCUCAUCUUCUUCAUCAAAAUAGCUUUUAUAUUUGUUCAUUUCCUCCGCAGCCAUCCUUUCAAAAGCAGACUUCACAUCUAAAUCUAUGUCCAGCAUUAAAAAGGUAGAAUUCCAUCUUGUUGGAAGAUCAAGCGCCGAUAUUUUUUCUGUGUCUAUGUCCCUUAUAAUGUCUCCUUCUCCAUCCACACCUUGAACACGUCCAAUCUAUUAGAACUACUUCUAAUAGACUUGACUGCAUUCUUAAUUGCCGCACCACUUUUAUCCAUUAAGGACAAACCAGCCUUCACUAUGAUGUUUAAGAUGUGAGCCAAACACCUCACAUGAAUGUGCUUUCCUCCAAACACCGGUGGGUCUUCCAUGCAGCCAUUUUCCCUUGAAUGUACUCUAUCGCCACCUUAUUUGCACUUACAUUAUCGACCGAGAUAGUCAACACCUUCUCUAUCCUCCAACACAGCAAACAAGAUUCUAAAAUAUUUCCUAUUAUUAUGCCUUUGUGAUUGGGAAUCACACAAAAGUUGAUGAUUCUCUUGUGCAAAUUCCAACCAGCAUCUAUAAAGUGUGUCGUCAACACCAUAUAGUUAAUGUUCUGAAUUGAAGUCUAAGUAUUUGUCGUUAAGCACACCCUGUGACUACUUAACACCUUUCGAAGCUCCUCUUUCUUCUCAUCAUACAACUUCCAGAAGCACCUUACUAUUGUUCUCAUAGAUGGUGGAGUGAAUUGUGGGAUAGCCACCUUGCAGAAAUGCUUAAACCCUUCAUUCUCAACAUGGCUAAAUGGCACCUCAUCAAUCACAUGCAAUCAUCUCAUAAGCAGCUUGUACACAACGAUCAUUGGUCCACACUGUUUGAAGUCCCAUUUCAGGUUCAGCUUCACCAUCACGGACAUUACCAACUAUCACAGCUUGUCCGUUGUCUCCCUACCAGGAUACUUCUUGCAUACCUUCUGCACAUGCCUACGAAAAGUACUAGUACCAUUAAAGGAAGAAUCCGCUUUCAGGUCAGCAUCACAAUGCACGCAUAUUGCACGCUUCUCAUGCCCCGCGUACACUUUCUUCCCAUCUCGUUGAGUGAAGAGUUUUCUGUCAUACUUCCUGAAGUGCUCCCACACCAUUGACGUUAAUUUUGAAGCAACCUUAGGUCCAAUUGAGGUAGAACCUCUCCUUUUUUUCGGCACACCCCGCGAAAUCUCAGUUACUGCUGGUGCUUCUUCUAUAACCUCAAUUGGAACUUCUAGUUCUGGUUCUAGCACCUUGUUCUCUGGCAUCCUAGCCUCCGCCGCAACCAAAUCAUUCCUUAUCUGAGUCUGAGCUGGUACUUCUUCAAUGUCUUCUUCUGAGUCGUAACACCCAGUCUCACUAUCAGAACUGACUAAAUGGCAGCCGUAUUGUGAUGAAGACGUCGACAUCACACCUGCAUGAACUCAAGUACACAACCAGCCGUAUUGUCUCAUUGGCAACAACAACCAUAACAACAACAAAACAAAAUCGAAAACGAAACAACAACCAAAUGAAAUCGAGCUAUGCACUAAAACAACAACAACCAAAUUAAAACAAAAUCGAGCAGAUGAAUUGGCAAAUGAAUUGGCAUAUGAAUCGGCAUAUGAAUUGGCAAUUGAAUUGCUAAAACAAGUAACACAACCACAAAUCAAAUUGGCAGAUGAAUCAUUAACACAACCACAAUCACAUGAUUCACAUCUUUUAACUUUUUAAUCGAUUCAGUCAUUGAGAUUUGAGAGGAAGAGAGAAGAGAUAGAACUCAUAGAAGCUGAGAUGGAAGCGAAGGCUUACCGGAGGGCGGAGGCGGUGGGCGACUGAGGAAGAGAUGCGUGCUAGCGUCGUCGAUCGAGAGGAAGAGAUGGGCGCCAGUCGUCGUCGAGAGGAAGAAAUGGGCGCCAGCGACGUCGUCGAGAGGAGAGAAGGACUCGAGAGAGGCGAAGCUGUUUCCAAAGUGUUUGACAGUUUGACUUAGGGUUACUCAAAUUCAAUUAAUCAUGUGUGGUUGAACUUAUGGUAAUAGUAUAAGAUCGUUAAAAUUAUGAAUUAAAUUCAGUUUACCCGCAUGAGGUUUGGGAGUAACUUCAUGUUAAUCCCUAUACUUUCAAUUUCAUCAGUUUACCCCCUUAAACUUUUAAAUUUUCCUCAAGCGUGACCAAAUGUCCUAUAUUCUGUCCAAAUCGGACGUUAACUGCUGAUAAUUUUAACCUUAACUGUGAGGCCAGUAUCUAGAAUUUGGGCAAAUCGAACCUUAUAUGUCCAAAUUGGACCUUAACUGCUGAUAAUUAAAGGUCAAUUCAAACGGAAUAUUAGAAUUUGGGCACGGCAGACAGAAAUUGAAGAGUUCAAGGGGUAAACUGAUGAAAAUAAAAGUGUAGGGACUAACAUGAAGUCACUUCCAAACCACAAGGGGGUAAACUGAAUUUAAUUAUAAAAUUAUCCAAUUGUUGAACGACACAUAUGUAUCUCGGACUUUCGAACCAAAACACUUGUUCAAAUUUAGGGACCGGGACCGGCCCGGGUAUAUCUAGGACCGGCCCAGACCGGCAGAAAAGAAAGAAGGGCCCGUGAAAAAACCCAACCUGGCCCGGUCGGGCCAAUCGGUUCGGUUUGGUCUUUUUUCUCCGUUCGAGUUUUAUUCCCAGCCCUAGACAUGAUGACCUCGUCGGUAGGUUUGAGCAGGCAGGCUUCAUUGGUGCGAUUCUUAAGCUUGUUUAGAUUUGUUAAAUUGAGGGAGAUUUUGGUAUGGAUACACGAUAUUGCAAAUAAUUUUGGUGUGAGUAUCUUUGACUGGGAGAGAUUUGUUUGUAAUUGAAAUUGAUGAGAGGAGAUCAAGAAGAAGAAAGAAACGUGAGGAGAGAUGAAUUAAUGAAUAAUUGAAUAAGAAAGAAAUGUGAGGAGAGCAUCUGAGAAAUCUAGCUUCUGCAUAUAUAUUAACAACAAGAGCAUCUGCUCUAGUGGUCUGAAUCGAGUCUUUACAACGAAGAUAUGCUGGGUUCGAGUCCCGGCCUUUGUAAAAUGUUAGACAUUUUUCAUUUGUGGCGUACUAUAUACAUAUAUUGACUGGUAUACGUAUAUGUUGUCUAGUACGGUAUACCGAUGGUAUACAAAAUUUGAUACUAUAGUCAUGCCGAAUACACAAACUGGUAUGAUAGUACUGUACCGAAUACGUACUGAGUUUUUUAGUUACCAACUUGGUUGGUUUGGAUUGAGCCCAAAUGCCAGCCCUACCUAAAACGCAAUUGCGAUACAAGUAAGACCUAAACAAGUUAACAUAAGACUCAUAGAUACAGACAACUGGCAAGGACAUCUUAUCCCCAGACUAAACUGAAAUCAAAUAACAGUUUUAUCCAUCCUUUUUGGGUCGGAGCUAAAACUGCUUCCAAUUUCAUUGAAGUAUGCCGAAACAUUCCUCCUAGCAGCAUAUCUUCUCACUACUAUCUUCAUUUUUUUCUUAUCACCAAACGACAACUUAUUCAUGCUUUUUGGCAGGCCUACCUCUCUUCCACUUUUCUUGUGCCUCAUACAUCACAUGAUUUAACCCCAAACUUGCAGGUUCAAGAUUCAGACUACGCUUACCAAAUAAACUGAGGCGGAGCUUCACUAGGGAAAUGGUGGGAACAUCUUCCUAUUUUGUUCACAACAUUACUCGGUAAUUCUAGCCACAGCAACCGAACCCAGUUGCAAACAGCUCUCUCAACAUAGCACGUUGGCGAGGAUGUGGCACUGAAUCUUUCAACGCCACACACCCGACAAGUUACCAAGAACAGAAGAAUUAACGACUAGGUUUUGGCCUUGCACCGAAAACCUAGCCCUGAAGUUCUCAUGCACUCACACUAGGGUUAAAGAACCCUCUCAUGUAGAAUACCGGGAUUGGCAUAGGCGUCGUCGACGCUGCUGUCAUUUGUUUGCCCAAUGUUGUAAACUCUGCCACCAGUCAUCCUCCUGCAUAGCCGGACUAGAACAUGCCAACACUAGAUGCGUCACCAGCCCACGCAUUGAGAAUCUUUCAAAGAGUUUGUCAUAUGAAACUUCCAACAAAUUCAAUUCCAUCCUCCACAAGAUACCAUCAUUUGAACGGAAUAGGCUUGUGCAGCCACAUCUCCACCAUAAUUCACAGCAUCUCCAUCUUCUUGGCUAGCUUGUCAGUAUUCUUGUAAGUAAAAUAGAGUAUCCAACCAUUGUCAUCACUCAUUUCGAGUGAAAGGCUAAAGGGAUGUAUUGCAGAGUUAUCCAAAAAAAAGGACUUCUCAAACAACACCAUUUCGAUGGAAAUGAUGAUGUCAUAAUAGGCCAACGCAACCACCAGUGCCUGGUUGAAGCCCCAUAGACCUCCCAUCCAGAUCCAGUCACGAUCGUUCAUGUCUAACAAGGUGAACAUCACCAGUCUUCCUUCCUCUUCCUUAACUUGCAUCGUUUCAUCCAACUGCUAUGUAGUCAUGAGCAUAUUCAAAAACUAAGGCACCUUUAAAUCCCUCGUUCUGAGUAGCUUUCCCACAAGAAACACAUUCGCUUGGCUCACACCCUUUCCAUGCGUAGGCCGCAUGCCGCAUGUGGACUUGCUUGCGGUCCUCAGCUAGAACUAAGUAUUUGCCAAACGCGCAACCAUUGCAUCAAUCAAACACAUCUCGUGGAAGUAUUGAUAAAAAAAAAAAACCUUAACCCUAGAGAGAAGAGAGCAGCUCCGCUUUUCUUGUAAACUAGUAAUUACUUAAUUUUAACUAUCAAGAAAAACAAAUUUUAUAAAUCUUCACUAAUUUCUUUUUUAAGAGGUCAACCAUAUGAAAACACGUAGACUUCUUUUCAAAAAAAACUUUGACAUAGUCAGUUGCUUUGGUCUAACGGCAUAAUAUUCCCUUGUUAGUUUGAAGUUGUUUUGAGGAGGAGGAAAAGUUGCAUAUAACGUCAAAGUUUUGUUUAGAACCACUUUGCAUUCUCUGCAAACAUUAAACUCUGUAAAAUUGUAAGAUGUCAUAUGUUAAAUCCUAGCUAGACAUUUGGUUGUUGGGUUAUGUUAAUUAAACUUUGAAGUGGAGAAGUGUGGCAUCAUAAGUUCUCUUAACUGCACCUUGAGCAUGGAGCAUGAACCUUGAAGUACAUUUUACUGUAUUAGUUAUGUAGAUUGGCAUAUUGGUUGUGUAAACAUAAAAGUAAAAAGGGAUUGAUUUCAUAUUUAUGACCGAAUGGGUUCUGGUUCAAAUGGUAUUGAAUUUUCACAUUUCUCUUGGGGCUUGAUUUCAUAUGAUUGACCUAAUGGGUGCAGAUAACAGAGAGUUAUGCCUAGUUACUUCCCAAAGAACGAGUUUCCAACCACAAUGUCAUCAUUAAGUCAUGUUCACACUGAGAUCUCCCUAAUUUCAUCAUAUUCAAACUUCAUGGACUUGUGAAUGUCAUCAGUCCUUUGUUCAAAUAGGCAAUAGCACAAGGAAAAUUCUAGUGUGCAGCACUGCAUACCAUGCAGAUCUCACUAGAAGACAAGAUAGCUGAGGUCAUCUAACAUUUUUGCAGAAAAUCCAACCGGAAAACCCCUCUAGCCAGUUUUUACCCUUUUAGUUUUACCUUUAGUCUUUGUGUGUUCAGUAAAAAAAAAAAAAAAAAAAAAAAAAACUUUUAGACGGAGCAUGGUGGGCCUAUAAGUAUAAAUUUGUUUACUUAAGUACAAAUAUAGAUCUAUCAUCUUCACUCAAGGGUAAGCAGUUAAUUUUUUAAUAACUCAAUUGCUACAGCUACAAGAUUAGAAUUUUUAGCAGAAGCUAAAUUAUCCUAUAAAGAACUACAAGAAGAAAGAAGAAAUUUGAGAAAACUAAAAGAAAAAAGAGACAAGUUUCCAAGAAGUACCAAAAAUUAUUGGGAUAUUAUCUUUCAACUACAACGAAGGAUAUACGAGUCAAGAGAAGAAAUUGAAGUUCUUCAAGAAACUUUUGAAGAAGACCAAAAACCUCUUGAUAUUUUGAGCAUCGGUUAGAUCCGCCAUAGCUGGUAUCAGAGCCUGCUUGGCUCAAAAGCAGGUGACAAAAGGCUUAUGCCACAGAGUUGGCUUCUCUCAACCAACAAAAGAGAAUCCAAACUGAAAAACUAUCAGUCUUUUUGUACUACAAAAGGAACUGAUAAGUGGGAAGUGUGUUUUCAUUCAAGGCAUAUACAAGAAAAUCAAUAUUCCAUUGAAUAUAUUUGUAGAGUACUAAAUACUCUAUACGACGAGCAUAUUCAUCUCCAACAGGAGAUCGGAGUAGAAGAGCUUGAUCCCUCAAGACCAAGCUUAAUCGAGUUCUUAAAUCAUUUAUCUAAGAAUAAGACCUCUGAAAAGGUUAUAGAGCAACUCGAGAGAUUUAAUCUACGGAUUACUCAACUUGAGGAAAUAAACUCAAAAAUUAGCAAGCUUGAAAUCAAGCUAGAUUACCUCAAGGAAAAACAAUAUCUAGCAGAUAUUGAAAAGAAAUUAGUUCGUACUGAAAAUCUUGCAAACAAUAUUCAUCAGCAAGCAGUAGAACUAAGGAAUACUCAAUAAAACUUGAAAACGCUUUUAGAAACUCUCAUUACAAGAAUAGGAUGAAUCUGAAAGUAGAUCUAAAAGUAAAGCAAGAAGGUGUUAGAGCUAUUGGCUUUCAUCAACCUACAGAAAAACUUGCCGAGAAUGUAGAAGCAAUAAUCCUUCAGCAGAAUUAUAACAUCGCUUAUCUCCAAAAGAUAGGUACUGACCUCGAAAUUCAAUUUCGAGAGUUACAUAAUAGAAUCUCUAGUCUACAAAAGACUUUAGAGAAAAUGAAGGAAGGAGAAAAUUAUGAAAGAACUGAUGAAGAAUCACUGGCUCAAAGUGUAGCUAGUAAAAUCAUCAUAAAUUCUCCACCCCUACCAAUGGGAGAAAGUAGACUAAGGUUUAGUGAACCAAAGUUACUUGAAUGGAAAUCUACAAAACCAGCUACCAAAAGAGAUAUGAAGAUGCUAAGUAGAAUUCUUAGCAAAAGAAACAUAGCUCUAGUUCAGCUGAUAAAUGCUCAAGAAUUUGAGUAGAAUGAAAUCGAGUCUAGUGUAAGGGAAGCAUCUGCCCCUAGAUUUAGAUUUAAUGAGAUCUAUAAGAAAGGAUCUUUCCUUAUGGAUUCACACAGAUUCAAGAUUCUUGAAUUAACCGUUCCUGCCACAGGAGGAGAAACAGAUAUCAGGCUAAUAACUCCAAAAGAAGUAAGUGAAGCAUUCCAGAAAAAAUAUUCCUAUAUGCAUAUUGGUGCGGUUCAAGUAGGAAUAAAACUCUUAGCCAGAGAUGGUAUUGACUGUUCUGUUCUAUGUGUCUUACAAGACGAUAGAAUAACAGACUUCAAGAAAAGUCUGUUAGGAAUAGUAGAAGCUUCUUUGUGCAACCAAGUUACAUAUUUCAAUGUUUUUCCAAACUUCACAACGCAUCUCAAAGAUGCUACUCACUGUCUAAGACUAAGAAUCAAGACAGAUGGGAUUUCUAUGAAAAAAGGAAUGAUGGAACUAGCGAUAGAUUAUCGCAUCUAUUAUAAGUUGAUGAGCUCAAAUGUGACUCCUAAUACCAGGUUUCUGAAUAGCCCUGGGAUUACCACAUCUGUUCUCACCAACCCAAAAAAUAAUUCUCAGCAAAAACAUGUCACGAAAUGGCAUGAAGUAACAUUCCCAAGAGAACGGAAUCUGACCCCUCCGGUCAGACAGCUUGAGAGCUCCAAUGCCUCAGUCUAUGAAGACAUGGGAGGAAAAAUCAGUAUACAAUUUCAUAGGCACUCUUUUGCAAAUUAUGAAGAAGCUAGUACCUCGGAAACUAAAACGGUUUAUAACGAAGAAUCUCUGGAAGAAGAGGAUACUAAAAGACCUAUGAGGAUGUUCCAAGCAAUGGAAUUAAAAGAGUUAUAUGCACAAGCUGAGACUUGUGAUUCUCCAGAAGAACUAGAGAAGAUUAUCAAAGAAAUUUCUCAAGUUCAACUUGGAAAGAAAAAGAGGAAGAUUCUUCCUUAUCAAGCAGCAAAAGAUGAACCAGAGCCAUCAGGAGCAUCAAUGGAGACAGAGGAUGAAAGACAGACACCUCCAGGAGGUGGUCAUACUGUAAUACAGAACAUCACCAACAAUCCUACAAAGAUUAUUCGAGAAAAGAAUAUCAAGCUUCCAAAAGGACAAGCUCCUACAGGAAGAUAUGGAGAACGAAGUUCUCAGAAAUACAUCCCUACAGAACCCAAAUGGGGACAAUCAGUGUCCGAGAGAGGGGUUUAUCUGGAUUUGGACCAGGUAUGAGAUAAGAGAAAAGUCAUAGACAACUGGGUUGCUAGUUUAAAGCUAACUCAGGCCCUAGUGUUAUCCAAAUAUGCCUAGAGGAAGCUCAUGCAUACUAUGAGUCUACCUUAACUGGAAUAGUCCAGAAAUGGUAUCAGUCCUUCAAGAGAAGUUCUCAAUGGACUGAUUGGGCAGCAAAAAUGGCUCAGACUAAUAAUCCUUUAGAUUUUGCAGUCCCUAUCUACGCACAAUUUUGCGGAGAUAUCACUGGACAUAGCAAGCAAUCUAAAGAAAGAGCUAAAGCAAAUAUUCAAAAAUUGAGUAUUUGUAACAUGAGGUAUUUCGAGAAAUAUACCAAUGAGUUUCAAAACUACUACUGCACCAUCGGAGACAUUGAAAAUAAUGAUCUCAUCAGAACAUAUUACAGAAAAUUGCCAGAACCCUGGAAUGAUGCAGUAGCGCAAUCAUUGGAAGAAAACCCCCUUCAGUAUUUUAUUGUUGGAGGAAUAGCAGAAAGAGUUAGGGAUCUCCUAAGAAAACAAUGUACAGAGAAUAGAAAAUCCAAAACUGCCAAGGAACAACUCAGAGGAGUUGAAAACAUGUGUCCAAAGAUUUUGGAUACCCCGACACAAUGGGGAUGUCAUGUUUUGGAAAAGAAAUACAGAAGAAAAAUUCNNNNNNNNNNNNNNNNNNNNCAUUAUGCGAAUGAGUGUCCGAAAAAGGAUAAAAGAACUUCAAAAGUCUUAAUGGCAGAAUAUGAGGAAGCUAUAAAUUAUGCUAAUCUAAAAGGCUUUGAAGUUGUUUAUUCUGAUGAAGAGAAUGAAUCAAUAUAUUCUCUUGAAUACCCAUCAGAUAGUGAAACAGAAAAUACUUCAGAAGGUUCUGAAGAAGAUGAAAAAGAAAUAGGACAUCAUCCUAUAUUUGUAUUACAAAUACAGAAUUGGAAGGAAGAAAAUGCUGAUAUUAUCAGCACCUUUCAUCCCAAUCCUGGAAGAUUUGUAUGUGAUUAUUGCGAAUGCGAAGAUGAUAGUACUAUCCCCAUGUACUGCGAAAGUACAGGAGAAACUUAUCAUCAAGAAUGCUUUAUUGCAGAACUCAGAAGAAAAACUAAAGAUAGAGAUGCUCAUACCUUGGUAGAAAAGGAAUAUAUUGUAUUCCAUAGAGAAGAACAAGAAAAAGAUCUUAAAAAGGAUAUGAACACGAUGAAGUUUAUAACUUCAUUAAGCCAAAACAAGAAGAUAAAAGAGUCUUUUGACUUUCUUACUCCCACGAUUGCUGGGACAAGUGCCAAUCCGAUAAUUAGUAUUAAUCCUCCUGAGUCCAUAACUGCUGAAAGACAAGUUAAUCCUUUCACAGAUUUACUUGUUGCUCCAAAAAAGCAAGAACAAGUAAUGCCAGUCCAAACAAGCAUAUAUAGUAAUUAUAUUACUAUAGGAUUGAAGUUUCCCAACUAUAGGAAAUAUCAUCUACACGCAUUUGUAGAUACUAGUUCAGGGUACUCUCUUGCCAAAAGAUAUGCUAUCCCUGAAGAAUUUUGGGAAAAAUCUCCAAGAACAGUUACUGGAGUUGCCAUGGAAGAAAACAAAAUCAUCAUGAAUACCAUGGCUCGAAAUGUAAAAGUUUCUUUGGGAGGAGGAACUUUUAUCAUCAAAAUGCUCUGGCAAUGCGAAGGCCAGACUGCUGAUUUGUUAUUAGGAAAUGACUUCCUUCUUCAACAAACAGUAAUCCAAACCUCAGAAAUGAUUGGGUUUGAGAAAAAUAACAGAUUUCAUUGGGAAUCUAGAUUGACAGACGCGGUACGCGUUACAACCAAAGGUUUCACCAAUCCUUACCAGAAGACGCUUGCGAAGAGUGGUGAUUAUAAGUCAAUUCUGAAACCAGUUUUACCAAUUUUGCAAGAAAAACUUAAGGGACACAGUGAAAUACUGAUAAAUGAAUCAACAAGUUCAGAAGACUCUGAAUCAGAGACAAAUUCUGAAUAUCAAAUUUCUGACAAUGAGGUUCUGAUGAAGAAGAAGAAUACAUCAGAGAACAUAACUUAAAGGUAUAUGCUAGGAAAGCAGAACAAAAAAAAAUACCGACUCUCACAGAAAUAGAAAACUUGCUGAAACCAGUAAUCAGUGAAGAUCCUCAGUUGUACUGGGAAAGAAACCUAGUAUAUUGUCAGCUCAAAAUGCAUGAUGCAAAUACUAUUUGCCAUGUCAAGGCCAUUCCUCACUAUAGAGAAUAAGAUAGGAAGGAAAUGGAAAGUCAGAUCCAAGAGCUUCUUGAAAAGAAGUUAAUUAGGCCUUCGAAUAGCCCUCAUCAUGCCCCAGCAUUUUUGGUAAGAAAUCAUGCUGAACAACUAAGAGGAAAAGCUAGAAUGGUGAUUGAUUACAGAGAUGUAAAUAAAAAGACCGUUAAAGACGGUUAUCAAAUUGCUCAGGUUAGAGUUCUCAUCAACAGACUUAGAGGCGCAAAGAUUUUCUCUAAGUUUGAUGCAAAAUCAGGCUUUUGGCAAGUCAAAAUGCAUCCUGAUUCCGUUGCUUUGACAGCUUUUGGAACUCCUCAAGGGCAUUACGAAUGGUUAGUUAUGCCAUUUGGAUUAAAGCAAGCUCCUAUUUUCCAAAGGAAAAUGGAUAAUAUCUUCAAACCAGUUACAGACUUUUGCAUAGUUUACAUAGAUGACAUUCUUGUCUUCUCAAAAACUAUGGAUGAACAUUUAAAGCAUCUUGAGCAGGUGUGUAAGCUUAUUGUCCAAAAGGGAAUUAUCCUUGGACAAAAAAAGAUUCAUCUUAUUAAAGGUGAAAUUGAUUUCCUUGGCAUUCAUGUUAAGGAUGGAGAGAUUCGUCUCCAAGAUCACAUUGUUAAGAAAAUCAGCCAAUUCCCUGACAAUAUUCCAGAUGCGAAGUCUCUACAGAGAUUUUUGGGAGUUGUUAAUUUUGCGAGAGAUUUUAUUCCCCAAGUUAGUAGUCUAACUGCUCUCCUCUCUCCAAAAACAAGUUCUAAGAAAAAAUGGUCUUUCACAGCUGAUGACAGUAAUACUGUCAGAAAGAUUAAAGAAUUAACAAAAAAUCUUCCUCCUUUACAAUUACCUGAAGAAGGAGAUCUGAUCAUUUUGCAGACUGAUGCAAAUGAUUAUUACUAGGCAGGAGUUGUUUUAGCUGUUGCUCCAGAUACAAAUCAUGAAAAGAUUUGUAAAUUUCAAUCUGGAAAGUUUAACGCUGCUGAGUUAAAUUAUUCCACCGGAGACAAGAAAGUCCUGGCCUUAAUUAAAAGCAUCAAGGGUGCUGAGGCAUACCUAGGAAAUAAAUUUGUAGUUAGAACUGACAACAAAAGAGUAAAAAACUUCAAAAACUACAAAUUGACUGAUGCUGCAGAUAGAGAAAGAGUGUUGAGAUGGCAAAUGUUUUUAACUCGAUAUGAAUAUGAUGUUGAAAUGGUUGCAGGAAACAAGAACUUUUUGCCUGACGCGCUUACAAGAGAGAUAGUGAUGUUCGAUAGAGAAGGUCGCGAUCCCAGAAGUCGAAAACCGGAAUCAGAGGAAAAUAAGCUCUGGGAAAGAUUCAAAAGAGGUGAUAAAACCGUAAGACCUCUUCAUGACGGACCAAGUUAUCAAUAUAUGGUCUCUUAUGGAACUGUUGAGUCUAGUCAAUCUUCAAGAAUCAAGCCUAAACCAGACUUUGAAGAAGAUGGUCGUUCCAGUCAUUCCGGCGGUACUAAUGAAGAUAAACUUGUAAAUGAGUUUUUGCUGUGUCCGAAAGGAUCAGCCUUAACUGAUCAGUCUCAGGGGUUUAGGGUGGCUAGCCCGUCUCAAACGGCAGACGGUAAAGACAUAUCAAGUCCGUUGAUGGCUGCUGCUUUGCCAAAAAGCAAGAAAGGCCCUCUCAGGGCAAAUAAGCUACCAUUAGUCACAGGAAAGAAGGUCAUCCAUGAUCAACCUUUGAAGAUCUUUCAGAAGCCAAUUUUCAGAACAGAUAGGCUAUUGGCUUUUAAACAGAAGAUUAUUAUUGAUAAUAUUCUGUAUUCUUUCUAUGAGGAAAAUGAAGCUCAUUUACUUCAAACCCUCAAGGCUUUAACAGAAGAAAUGUAUGGAGUCCAUACAAAAGACAAAAGAGUUCUAGCAGAACCAUCUAAAGUUGUAUACCUCGAGAGUCCUGAAAGCGCAAAAAUUCCUAUGCUAGCUUUAAAGGAAUCUGAAUGGUAUAAUUUCCAUAACCUCUUAGGUGAAGGAAAAGAUGUUCUUCCAAGAACAUUAUCAAUAACCCCUGGCCCAUAUUAUGGGAAAUAGCUGGUUGAUGUUCAAGCAGAGCAUCCUCAGAAGCACAAGCUAUGGCUCAUAGAAAAUGGUUUUGUUCAUAAUUUAUGGACAAAAACCAAUGAAGAUCUUAAAGGCUUUCUAGAAAUAAUAGCCGAAGCUGUCAAAAAUAUCAAACCCAAUGGAUGUAUCCUAAAGAUAAAAUUCAUUUCAACACCACCAGAAUAUACCAUGGUAAAUGGACAGAUGAAUUAUAUCUCUCCAUAUCAUUAUGUCAGAUUAAUCCAAAGUCCGGUUCAAAAGCCAGCAUUUAUCAGUGGCAAUGGGAGACCAAAUCAGAGCAUUCCAUGGAUGAAAGCUAUGAUCAUAGCAAUUAUCAAAAAUAUAGUUCUGAGAGACUAUGAUUCAAGCCUCCUGGCAAGUGGAGAAAAAAUAAUGGUCACCUGCUAUAAUCAUCCUCCUCUUGAGAACUGUGACUUUUUCGCAGCUCUUAUGAGAAAUGAAGUGGAUUGCACUCUAGCUACCACUAAGUGGCUAGAAAAAGUUGAGACUGAAGAAAAAUAUAAGAUUUCUUAUCCCUAUGAUUCAGACCUCGACGGUGGAAAUGAAGGCACUACACAUGAUUGGGAAAGUAAUGGUCCCAACUCCUCAGUAGGAUAUUCUGAAGAUCCAGAAACAUAUCACAACAUAGUAAACAUGUUGGAUAAUUGAGCGAUGGCUGACGCUUCAUGCCAAACUACUUUUCUUUUGAUAAAAAAAAAGGGAGCCAUCAGCACAAGAUUUCAAACGACUUUACUUUUUCAAAAGUAAAGUUAUCAGGAUUAGAUCCCUCUUGUCCUCCACUUUGUACAGGUGUGUUUUAUUUUUAGCUUGAGUUUCGUCCCUAUAUAAGGUCCUCAAACUUCAAAAGGAAGGCAUCGAAAAAACAACGAAAGACAAAAGUUUUUCACUCUCCAACCUUUCUCAAGAAGUAGUAUAGCCAAUAAACAGUCUUUGUAAUAUAGUAAGUGUGAGUAAGAGUGUAUGUGAGUCAUCUGGUGUGAAGUACUGUAAAAUACAAAUAAGUAUUUAUCUUGUAAUUAUGAGUAGCUAAAUAACUUUUAGCUGUUUACCUAAGAGCGAGGCUUUAGGUUUUAUGUUUGUAUCUUUGGUUGAAUAAAUUCAUCUUGGUGCUCAAAAUCCCGUCACAAAAAUAAUUUGCAUAUAUAUUAGUCUGUUAUUUUUUGUUGUUUUACUUAAUCUCUGCAUUACAAUUAGAACCAUUUCUUUUUAAGACAGCAGUGAUUCCGCCGUGCAUAGUAACCAGGUCGACCGAGGGUCUUUAGGUGAAUCUUUUCGGCAUGUUGAAGGCUAGUCUUUUUUAGGAAUGUUUUUAGUUAUUUACAGGUAAUUAUAAUUUGUGGUAAUAACCUAUAGAACAAGUCACUAGCAGGUCAUCUUAAGACCACUUGCCUUUUAAAGACAAUAAAAGCAGUCUGCAUCCCAUGCAGCACUGCAUAACAGACAUACCCAUCAAGGGAAAAAUGCACCAGAAAUGCUAGAUCUCAUGGGAAGAAUUUUCAAGUCUAUGGAACAAGAAGCCACUGGAUUACUAGUUUCAAGAAAAGCCAUUAACUUCAGAUUCGAUCAUGGAGGUGGAGUCUAUCCCAGGUGUUGUCUGACGCAAAAACGUUGUGCUGCCUAUCUUACUAAGCCAGUUUUUAUUUUUAUUUUUUAUGAUUGAUUACUAAGCCAGUUAUGAUUUAUGAACCGUUACUUUUAGAACUCUGUGACCCAUUAUCCAUUAACAGCUGAUACCUUCCACAGGUAAAUAUAAUCGUAAGAUUAGAACACAAGUAAUUAGAUAAAUGCAAGCAACCCAGGAACCUAAAUCUUGUGAAUCCAAAAGAAACCCAUCUUACAAAAUUAUACUUACCCGGUGUAGAGCUUAAAAGGAAGUUCACCAUAGGAUCCCAAAAAGAUUUGACCAAUUGAGAUCUUGCCAUGCAUUGCAGCUACCAUAAGCUGAGUCUGGAAACCAUUCAAGUCCAACAAAACCAUGAGAACUUUACAACCAGCCAAAACUAAACCACAGAGAUCAAACAUUUUAAAAGCAAGAAACUAUCAUAUUCAGAGCCAAAAGUAAACCACGUCACCUGCUUGUGAAUAUUCAACGCAUCAGGAAUUACAGAUCGUUCUAACAGCUGAGAAAGAAUUUGCAAAUCAAACCCAAAACAGAGCAAAAAUGAUCAGACCAAACAACCAAAAAGAACAAGGAUUUCCCAGCAAGAAACAAAAACCCAGAAAAACCCAUUUGUCCAAAACCCCAAAAAUCUUGAAGCAAUGUCUACACAUGACUCCAUAUUACACAACAAUAUCCAAGAUGUUUUGAUUGAAUAAUCUAAACUUUGAUCAAUCUUGUUCAGACUACAAAAUGCAUGUAGUUCUUGAAAAUAAGUAUCCUACUAUACAUAAUCCAUCUACCUGCAACAGUAAAAACGAUAACCAAUCUACUCCGAAGUAAAAAAUCAUAGCUAGGAAGACUGUUCUCUCUGCUGUCUUCAUAUUUGGGAUUGUCAAACCUAUUUUGAAUCAGAAAAAAUAACAACAGUUUGCAACCACACCAAAAAAAAUUGCUGAAACUAAACAAUUACUUGGAGUUAAUUACUUCAUGAUCAUCUACCACAUUGGAGCAAUAUAAGUCGAUAGAAGCCAUUGACGUGAAGCUACUGCCAUGCCAGAUUGAAUUUAAGCCAUACUAAAUCUAAAUACAAGUCUGAAACGAAGUUCAGAAGGGCAGCAAUAUAGGUCAAUAGAAGCCAUUGACGUGAAGCUACUGCCCAUGCCACAUUGGGUUUGUGCCAUACUAAAUCUAAUUGCAAGUCUGAAACGAAGUUCAGAAGGUCCUGAAACUGCCUCUAUUGAACUUUCUUGCUGAACGAUAGGAAUAGAAUGUAAGCACAGUAAACUUAUUACUAUAUAUUCUUUGUUCAUUAAGUGACCGGCUUUUUGAGCGCGUUUAAAGUGUGUUCACAUUGGCAAGCAUCACUCGUCAAAUUUAGCCGCCUCUUCCACAGAUAAUAGGUCGAAACAUUCCUCUGCAUCUUCCAUCUCGGACUUUCAUAUAACCUACAAACACAACAAAUAAUUCAUAAUUCAUGACAUCAACAUUUCUAAGUUCUAGUUAUAUUUUCUAUUUUGGUCCACAAAUAUCAACACUAUUUUAUUCUCAAACUCCAGGAGAUGAAUCGAACUUACAGAUGAAUAGCUUGAGAUGCAAUGAUCAAGAUUCCGAAGCAAAGUUGUUGUUGCUCCUGAAACUGUAAAAUUGCAUUAGGAAAGGAAAAAUACAAGUAAAAAGAGUAGCUUACUGGCUUGACUUUUUGGCAUGAGAUAUAGACAUUAAUCCUAAAAGCUUACUGGAGAAUUUAUUAUGUCAAUCUUGUGCCAAAGCGAUCAAACAAUGUUCUUCUCAAACCCUCUCUCAUUCUUUCAAACUUAAAUAACAGUUAAAGAUGGUAAAUUCUAAAGAAAUGCUCCGGUGUUAGCUGGUACAAUUUUUUCCAUCAACAAAUCUUCUAUCAAAUCCAUCGCGUGACUAAACAGAGUAACAAACAGUAAUAUCCAUUUGAAACUAACAUUCAGAACCAAGAUACUUUCUUAUAACAUGUCCACCGUGCACAUAAACGGAGCCAUGUAUCUAGCCAAACCAAGUUAAUAAAAUAAAUAUAAAUAAAAAAGGAAAAGGUAUAUACUGUAUAUAAAAGAAAACAUAUCAAAAUCAAAUUGGUAAAAGGAUAACUGAUAGUUCACCUGUCAAAAUAUAUCUCAAACCCUUUGGAGUAGAAAAAUUCGCAGUUUCUGUGAGUGCUCGCGCCUUGCCCAUCAAAGCAACCUGAAAGAAGAGAAAAUAAUUAAAAAAAGAACAACUUUCCUAUUCAAAAAUCCAGCGCAGCAAACAUAAGAGUCUGCAAGGAAAAAUCUCUAAUCAAUUAACUUUUAAUAGUCCCCCAAUAUUUUAAAGUAAAGCUUGUGAAUUAGCAGCUUAAAGUGUUAAAUUUCUAGCAUACAUGAACACCUACUUUGACCUCUUUCUUUUUGAUAUCACAUCCUUCCACUCAUCUUCCCAAGUUAUACAGAAUUACAGAUUGUUGCACAGGUAGUAUCUUCACAUUCUCAUAUUCAAGUCCAUGAUAUGCAUGCAUAAACUUAUCUUUCAUCCCUAUCAAUUAUUGACGGCAAAUUCUAAUGGACUCUCUUAAGCUUAGAAUUAUAUUAAAUUAAACACGUUAUCAUGCUGCUCGCAGUUGCCUAGCCUUCCAAGUUCUCAAAAGCAUUUCAUUAGGAAAUCACCAAUGCCCGAUAACCAAAACAUGUAGAGUUCACUUCAAACAGAAAAUUUAGGGGCAGAACAGAAAUUGGUACACAGAUUUUACUUCUGUUUCCAAGUCAAUCCUAAAAUCCCUAAACCCCAGUUAAACCCCCUAGGUAUAAAUUGGUGAAGUUUACUACAGAAAGAAAUAAUAACACCCUCAACCUAGGGGGUCACUAAAACCCCAAUUACCCCUAGUCAAAGCAUUCAGCCAUUCCAUUAUCACAAAGCUAAUUCCUCUAUUGAUUGGUAACAUGAUCACUGCAAAACACACCAUUUAAACCAAGAAACUUAGCCACAGAGAAACCAAAAACUGAGAGCUCAUUCACAGCAAUGGGAACUCGAAAUGCUUAAUUAACAUACAUAAUUCAGCCUUGCUGCUGUGUCAGUAUCAAUCACAGAAAAGUUAAACUUCAUUAUAAAAAUAUGGCUGAUUAGAUAUAGUUACUGUUUUUCCUAUCAAUGAAAGAGAUAAAUUAUGACUUACAGAUCAAAGAGCAUGAGAAACUUAUCAAUACCUCAAAAAAGGAAAGCACCCAGUAAUGCUAGUAACAUGUACCCAAUCACCCAUUACCCCUCCAAAUCCCGAGGGAAAAAAAAAAGAAAAAGAUAGAGUAGAUUUCGUUCAGUUUCCAGGAACAAAUAAGAUAACCCAGUAAGAACUUCAUCAAUAAAGUAAAAGCUACAACUCCACAACUCAAUUCCUCAUUAUCCAAAGCAGAACAGGUAUUAGAGAACCUAAAUUUACAGCAGAAGGAUUCAAUUCAGAUCGACUUGAUGCUUUUAAAGAUCACAUGCAUGCACAAAAGGCAGCAAUGCAAAGAAAUACCCCAAAACUUCGAGUGAGUAAUCUCAAGGACUCCAAAUUCUGCAUAAUAUGAAGGAAACUGACAAAUCUUACCAAAAAUGAAGAACCUAAAUUCAUUUGCACCACCCAAAAGCUGCAUGGACCGAAACUCAAUCGAAUCACCAGAAUAGUUUAAAUAGAAAUUCAAUCAAGUCCCAGAUUUGAUCAAACUGAACAUAACGCAAUUGGUUGAAACCCAAACGAUCAAAACUUCAAUCUAACACCCAGAAUAUACAUAAAACCCAACAUUAAGAACCAAAAACCCAUAUCCCAUAAGUCAUCCUAACACUGUAUCAAACCCACAACACUUUAAAAAUCAAAACUUAAGCUGAAAAAUUAAAACUUUGAAAUGACAAAAGGGGACCAUUUUCUUACCCACACUUGUAGCAGAGAACCAGAUCGCAAAGGCCACCCAUUCUUCCAUUCAUGCGUAUUGUUCGUCCGACAGAAACCGUUCAUGCAAAUCAUGGUCACCAUGGCCCCAAAAUUCAACCCCUAAAACCAACACAAAAAACCCACAAUCCCAAAUCCAAAUCCCUAAAACCCCUACUUCACAAAUUAAGCCCAGGACAUCACAACAAUCAACUAUUCAAUAAACUCAAUUACCCUAAAAAAUAAGACCAACCUACCUCCUAUUUUCCCAAUUCGCAAAACCGAAAUCUCGAAAAGGCCUAGUCAUUCAAACACUGAAACAACUCUUUGAAGGGGAGCUUAAUGGGUCUGACUCGACCCCAAUUAAUGACAAGUAACAUGAUCAAUACAGAAGAUAUUCCCACUCAAUAAAAUCUCCAAAGAUUCAUUUUCUACCAUGCACAACUUAACGCAAAAAUGUAGACAGCUAUUUGACAACACAGUACUUUAAGUCUACAAAAAUGAGACAAAUUUUUUAGAAAAGACAGUACAAAGUUUAACAUUGACUAUAGCAGAAUUAUGUGGUUUUUAUGAAGCUUGCAAUGGUAAAAACUAAAAAGUAGUCAAAUCUUACAGAGAUAAAAUUAAGCUUUAAAGUCAAUAUUUGGCACAGAGAAUUAACAGUUUCUAGUUUCUACCAUGAACAAGACAACCAUAAGAUGCAUAACUGUGUAAUCAAACUUUUCACGAAUUUUACAUAAUGUCAUCAACUAAAAAUGAUGUGUACAAAUCACAUGAAUGACUGAAACUGCACUACAACAGUGAAUAUUUAACCAAUUGCAAAUGAUCAUAUAUAAAUCAAUACAAUCGAUCAGAUCACCCACCGGGCCUAUACAGAUAUGUAAAAUGAGGUAGCAAGCCAGAGGACUGAAAACUCAGUCUACAUCCACAAACACAAAGGAAGUACUAUCAAUAUCUUGAAACGUGAUUCUUCCCAUGUAUAAAUCAUGUAUGUGAUCAGGACAAAGAGGGAAACAUUUCAGAUGGAGACUCCCAUUGAUUGCGCCCAUCCCCGGCACCCAUUUAUUUUCAUCCAAGGGGGUUACAUUCAAUCGACUUUGCAAUAAUCGUACCCGAUAAACAAUAGUAUCUGUUCUGUCACAGAAAUGAGCAACACAAGAAUAUGGAGGCUCAUCAGAAGCUAAUCUAAUCAAAGCCAAAGAAAAUGCCCCAUCCACAGGUUUUGGAUCAGAAAGAUUUUUAUCUCCCAUCAUCUUUACCUCUCUUUCGGUGGGAAAGAAUACUUCUUCAUUUCCAUUUAUAUCAAAGACUUUUAAAUCCUUAGUAUAAUGUUGCAUGGCUUCACGUUUGGUGGAUUCAUGCUUUUCAGCUAGAGUCAGGAUACAAGAGAACCUCAAAUGAUAAGUUACAAUAGUUUUCACCAUCUUAAAGUUAUGGCAGCAGCAGUAAAAAUCAAGCCAUCUUCUCCCUACACCAGCAUACCACUUGAUGAUGUCAGCAUCUUCAAGAGCAGUUAGUAACGUGAUCGGCCUGGGACGACCCAUAGAAUUUGUAAACCCAAUCAACUUAACCAUCUUCCUCAAAACUUCUAUAGGCGCAUCAGCUUUGAUACAGACCUUUGUCAAAUCCUCAACUGUUCUCUUAGCAUAUUUCUGCUCUGCUUCUUCUGUUACCCUCCUUUCUUCUUCCUCCCUUGCCUUUCUAUCUCUGACUGGGUUCAGAUGCUUGUCUACUUGCUCUUGGAACUUAUCAUAAGAAUCUACAAGCUCUUCAGACAAUUGUUUUCUAAUGUGCCUUAGAGACAGAAAAGUACCUGCUGAUAACUUUCGAUACCAUUCCCAACGCUCAUCCAAGGACCCAAGGAACUCUUUCACUACUUCAUCAGCCCAGGUGCUGAAUAUUUCUCUGACUUCAUUCUCAAUUUGAUACUCAGAUUUCAAUCUAUCACCAGUCUUCAGCUUUUUAAAAACAUGGCCCAUAAUUUUCAUUCCCAAUUUCUUUCUAUUCCUCUCCCUAGCAUUUUUCAAUUCUAUAGCUCUGACUUCCUUCUGUCUAAGGUACUUUUUCCGUGCUCUAAUAGCUUUUUCAGACAUAGGGGGGUGCGACACCGAAGGUGGAACUGCCCGUAAUUCCAUGCCCAUGAAAUCAAUCUUCUCAGACACUGCACUGUGAAUAGAUGUCUUUACCUUAUCCACCAUCAAUUCCAAACUCCCUUCCAAGUAGUUGACAACCCAGUUCUUCAAAUCCAUAGUCAACAUUUUAGACCCGGACGUCAUCACUAAUAUCUCAUCCAAGUACCUAACCGCAUAUAUCUUCACAGGCUUGUAGAAAACACCAUCCUUGGAAACAAGCUCAUCCGACUCGAACUUGGGAUGCUCCUGAUUCUUCCUCAGACGCAUCUCCUGAAUCUCUUUAUCGAAACCAUUAAAGUAAAUGUUCAUCAAAACUGAACUCAACCCACUCUCCUGAGGAAACCCUCUUCCAAAGCAAAAACUACCCAAUUCAAUUCUCACAACGCCACAUUCAAACAAUGUCUUAAUGAUACCAAUCAAAACCUCAUCCUCUAUCUUCUCUUCCAUAAACAAGCAUAGCUUACUCACAUGUCGUUUUUCGAACACUCCCCGACUAAAGCCAACACUAAACCACCAGGUGGGAUUUUCAACAGAGUUCUUAAGGUACCUAAUGGCCGUGUGCCGCCCCAGAUUAACACGACCGCCAUAAGAAAACGUGACAAAGCGUUCAUCAUAAACAACGCCCAGUACAAUCCUAAUAGCUUCAAUCAAAACUUUGAGUUUCAAAGUGGGUAAGACCAACAAAGACUCACCUCCGUCGCCCAUUGAGACGCUAGAAGCUCCCACAUCGAAGCGAUUCUCGCGGAGCUGGCGACCCAUUUCGUGAAGAGAGAAGCGCUUGGAGACGGAGUGGAGAAGGCCAUUGUGAAGGGGUUGAGGGGUUGUGGCGGUGAGGUUUUGGCAGGCGGUGAGGAGAACGGCGGGCAAAGCGACGACGUUUUGGAGCAGGUUGGUGAAUUUGCCGCGAGGAGUGUAGUGGCUGAGGACUAAGGAUUUGAGUUGGGAGUCUGAAAGAGGCUCCUGUGGUGUAGAGUCGGAGGGAAGUGUGCUAGUUGAGAGGAGGUUGCAGAGUGAGCGGUUUGGGUGAAAUCUUCUUCUGAGGUUUAAGAGCAUCGAAGCCGAUCCCAAUAUGAGCAUGUCAUCCAAAACCCUUCCUUGGUUAUUUGCUACAAAUAAAGCAGCAGUCUUGUCUAAUAUUUGAUAUUUUAAUCCUGCAACUAGAAAUAGUUUGCCCAAUUCCAGUACCAAGCCAUCCAUGAAGCAACACAAGAUGUUGUUUCUGUUUUUGCCAUGAACUCCAAAUUGAGGAGCACUAGAAACACUUAUUAAAGAGAUGCCAAGGCAGUACCAUCAGGAAAUUAGCAAAGGGGUUGGUCAUUUUUCAGUUUCGUUUGUGUAACAAAAUAGAAAAACACUCAUCAUUGGACUAGAUUUAUGGAAGAUCAAUCAUGCAAAUGGUCACAAUAUGAUUAUCAAUUACUUCACAUGUCGAGUGAGUCCAAUCCAUGUGACCUCAGUUUACACAAGGAAUUUUAUUUAUUCCAUGACCAAAGAAAAAAGAAAGUAGAACAUAAUAAAAUCUAAUCUCUAACAACUCUUACAAAGUUGUUACAAACACACAUGUCACACAUAUCACAUUUGAGUCGCACUUUAGAAAUCUCGUAUAGCCCUUCGCUUCAAUGUUUUGUUCGUGCAGUUUACAAAUAAGGUGGACUUGUUGGAAAGUUUCUAAUGAGUACCUUAUAAUGAGUACUUUAUAAUGAGAACCAAAUGAAGACUUUUGAAUAAACGGUUAAACAAAUAUUUUUAGUUUUAGUUGAUAUUUUUAAAUUCCACCAAAAUGCUAGAAGCUCUCUCGUGGGUUUGUUUUCUUUUUUUGUUAUGGUCUAGAUGGAAUCACACUCUUAUUCAAUGCAAGUUUUCAAAUGUACACACAUUGGCGAUUGGGACGAGAACCUCAAUCACUUAUUUAUCUGACUCGUGCAUUUGUAUGUAGUGUUUUUUCCACCGAAACCAUCAGUGGUAGCCCCUUUAAACAAAACAGUGGGAGCCAAGAUAAUAGUGUCCGACAUUGAAAGGCAGGCCAUGAAGUUUCCUGGAAGUUGGAAGCCUUAGACAAAGUCCCCAAAUAGGACAAACUAACAUGGGCAAAUAUAAGUUAAUUGACAUUUUCAAACGAGGAACAAACCAAAAACAAGAAAGGGAUUGUUGUGACUUGACAUCUUGUCUAGAAUUGCAUACACGUUCAUCGCCCCCAUCAAUAAAAAAGACACUGUACCUUUCAACCCAAAAACUCCACACUCCACGCCAAACCGCCCGCGCUUCUACUCACCAUUUCAUUUUCCACGAAAUUUAUUCCAUACUUAGCUUCAUAAAAUAAUUAACGCAAUGAGAAUGAAUACUAUAAAAACCCAUGAGUUUAGUCUAGUGGAAAGCAUGAUGGGUCUGCUUGUUGAGCGAAUAUUACAGUGGCACUUCUGGUAAUAGGAGGUCACUGGUUCGAUCCUCCACAAGUAAAACAUCUUAUGGGGAGAGACCAUACCCAUGUUGCUCCCGGCCUCGGAGUGGUAGUCCCACCCGACCACCAUUUCUUGUAACCGAAAAAAAAAAAAAAGAAUGAAUACUAUAAAAGCAUCUUUAGCCACGUCAACCAUUUUCUAUUUGAAUUUUAACCAAAUUAACUAUCCAUAUUUUAUAAAUCAUCAGUUCUCUUACUUUUAUUAGAUAGUUUUAUUUUUUUAUUUUGUUUUUUACCGUAAUAAUCCUGAUUUUUAAUAGUCUGAAUUAACUUAAUAGGGUAAUAUUGACAGAAAAAUAUAAUUUGAUGAAUUUUCCGAACUCUUAGCUUUAUAGUAGUAAAUAUGUGAAUUUGUAUUAUUUAUUUAAUCAAUGAAAAGUAGGUCAAAUGUAUUUAUAAACCACACAUGAUUAAUUCGUUACUCUCUCUCUCUCUCNNNNNNNNNNNNNNNNNNNNUAUAUAUAUAUAUAUAUAUAUAGUAUAUAUAUAUAUAGUAUAUAUAUAUAUAUAUAUAUAUAUAUAUACUAUAUACUACUACUACUACUACUACUACUCUCUCUCUCUCUCUCUCUCUCUCUCUCUCUCUCUCUCUCUCUCUCUCUCUCUCUCUCUCUCUCUCUCUCUCUAGGGUUAGGGUUUCAUUCGAGAAAACAUUGCAAUGACUGCAGACCUCGUCUCCAAGCUUUCCCCUGCCACUAAGAGGAACCAGUGGAUCUUGAUAAUCUUUGGUGUCUAAAUUAAGGUUUUAUGGCUCCUAGGUUUUACCUAGUUGGCCGCUUGAACACAAAAAGGACUGUGGUUUUUUAUUCCUUUUGUAGUGUUGUGAAAUCAAUGUGGAGAUUAUUCACAACAGUGGAAGUUCAGGCUAGGGGUGACCGAUUCUUUUUUACCUUCACCAAUGAUAGAGACGUCAAUCAAGUGAAGAAGGGAGGUCCAUGGGUGUAUCAAAGUGCCAUAAUUUUGCUAAAUGAUUGUAACGAAUUUUCUGAUAUCAUGGCUAUUCCUCUUGAUUUUGGUGUGUAUUUGGGUGGAGAUCCAAGAUCUCUCGGAAGCCCUUAUGACGAUGGCGACGACGAGUUUGGUAGGGGAGGCCAUCGGAUCUACCAAGGAAGACUGAUAUGUCCCCAGGCCAAGGAAGCAGAGGCUACGGUUGCAGCGCUAGUCGUCGCCCCAAACCCAGCGACUUUUCCCAUGAUUUCUUAAGCGUAUUCAGAGCAGAACCUAGUCUGUCCCUCGAUGCCAAAUCUCUCAUCUCUUUUUCCUAAAGAGGAGAGAUCAGUUACCAUCCGAGAAGUACCAGAAUUCCAUUCUCUAGUCAAGAUUGUUGGUGUUAGCCGGCAAAGGGAAGAGAGAGCUCUGAAGAUGGAAAGCGUGCUACGAACAAUUUGGCGGUAGUUCUGUUUCACCUUGAACCAGGGGAUCUAGGGUUUGUGGUAGGUACCGAUAGUUCACUUGGAAUUCUGAAAAAGUCUCAAAAGAAAAGAGGUAGACCUUGGGGAAGCAGAAACAAGAAAAUGAUGUAGGGCUCUGGUUAGACGGACUCUAUGGUCCCUAUGAAGUAGCACCAAGAUCCCAAUACAAGAGUACCCCUUUACUUUGACGGCAAGGUACACCAUUAGAUAUUAGACCUCAUGUCAUUUUGGAAGGUUCUUUGUAAACUUAGAUAGGUUCAUUGCUUUUUAGUUAGUAAUUGCUUUCUAGUAGUGUAUGUCCACCUUUUUGACCAAUUUUUUUGGAUUAGGUUGUUCCCUUUCAGUUUUGUAUUUGUGUUCGAAUCAUGAGUUCUAAACUUGUAUUGGUGCUUGCUUCUGCUUGAUCUAGCAAUAUUUGNNNNNNNNNNNNNNNNNNNNNNNNNNNNNNNNNNNNNNNNNNNNNNNNNNNNNNNNNNNNNNNNNNNNNNNNNNNNNNNNNNNNNNNNNNNNNNNNNNNNNNNNNNNNNNNNNNNNNNNNNNNNNNNNNNNNNNNNNNNNNNNNNNNNNNNNNNNNNNNNNNNNNNNNNNNNNNNNNNNNNNNNNNNNNNNNNNNNNNNNNNNNNNNNNNNNNNNNNNNNNNNNNNNNNNNNNNNNNNNNNNNNNNNNNNNNNNNNNNNNNNNNNNNNNNNNNNNNNNNNNNNNNNNNNNNNNNNNNNNNNNNNNNNNNNNNNNNNNNNAUGGGAACGAAGAUGUGUAUCGAUAUGGGGGAAAAAUGGUUUGAAAGGUAACUUUUAGAAUUUGACUUUAUUCUUGAUAUCAAGUCAUCACUUGACAGAGGAAUUAGAUGAAUAUCAAGUCAUCACUUGACAGAGGAAUUGGAUGAAGAUUGGAAGUUUGGACAUGCGCAGCUGAUGAAAAUUGGGAGUUGAGGGGUGUUUUUGAUGAAAUUGAAAGAAUAAGGACUAACAUGAUGAUCGACCUAAAGUUGAUGGGGGUAAACUGAAAUUAGUCCUUUUUUUUUGUUUGAGGAAAAGGGAUGUGACUCCCGUGGGCGUAAACCCAUCCAUUGAUCGAAAGAUCAUACAACGAGCACUCUCGCUCAAACUAAGGGAUCUGAAGAUCAUAUAUUACAUCCACUGCUCAACUGACUAACUUAAUAGCCAGGCUACCAUCCAAAAAGAUGAUAAUAACUACAAUCUACAAAGAAAAUAAAGUCCAAAAAGGUGGACAAUCAAACUAAACCCAAAAGACUGCCCAAAAAAGCGGACAUCUAAAAACUAAUUUAUUCUUCAUAACCCUAAUUCCCAACAUCCGUCUUGAUUAGCUUGGGGCCUAGAGACCUUCAUGGUGUACCCCUCUACCCGUCAGAACAGUGAACAUCGUAGAAUGAGGGUUACGUAAAAGCCCGCUCGUAGAGACUCAAACUCGGAACAACGAGCCUAAAAGUAAAACGUGAGAGAAGAGGGAAAAUGGCCCAGACCCAAAAGGACCAAGCCCACUCCCACAUGCCUCUUCCCAACCCUCAGCCCACUUGGACCUGAGAUCCGGAUUGGGCACCAGAUCGAACCACCCAAGCUAGCCAUAGCCGUCAUCUGUCGGUCUCUGACGAGCAGAAGCAUCCUUCAGCCAUGGGAGUGGCGAACACGAAACGCAGACGCACCCAAAGCAAGUUGUCACCACCUUUGAGCCGUUGCUAACCUAGUUGCAAACGCCGCCGGACAAAACAACAAAUCAGUUCAUUGAGAAAGCGCAGAGUUAAGCCGCUCCUCCUCAAACUCCUCCCUAGCAGAUCGGCCUCCCUCCUAGCUUGCAAGGUGCUCCAUAUAUGAUGCCUCGUUUGGUUUAGGGUAACUAACAAGAAAGAAAAUUUGUUAUUGUCAUGUUAUGUGUAUUAAAAAAGGCAAAAGGAAAAGAAAUUCUUUUAUGAAUCUCCUCU
rnacentral:lncRNA from 1 species